UUUUUUUUUUUUUUUUUUUUUUGUGGAAACAUAUAAAACAUUUGGAAAACUUGAGGAGUUAAAAGUCAACGGACAUCUUUUUUUUAGUUUGAUAUCGAAGACCAAUUAAGGUCGUACAAAAGGAAAACAAAAAUUUUGGUCAAAAGACAAAAAGAGCAAACUGAAUAGGAUGACAGGAUGAUGAUUCGCAUGAUGUGAAAUUCAAAGGGUGUUAGCCCGUUCGGGAACAUUUUAAUUUUACUACAUGCCUAAACUCUUCAUUCCCAGCCAUCAGAGUCAAAAGCUGUGUACAUAUCCGUGGCUUUCGUGUUAGUUUGAUGCACAUUAUAUGUCAGUCUCCAAGGAUCAAGAAAAGCACGGGGAGUAAAUUACUAAUUUGCUCAUCGCCGGUUUAUUUGCCAACAAAGUAAAUAAAAUUUGUUCUCGAAAUUUAAUUUAACUAGUAAUAACAUAUUAGCUAAGUGAUCUUCAAUUCUCUAGUUUAACUUUCAGAGCCCCCCAUUCUUUCUUCUUUCCCUUUUUAUAAGGCUUGGAAACUUCCAUAAAAAUAAAAAUUUAAAAAAAUUUGCAUGAGAUUGGGACGAAAAAUCGUUGUGCAACAAGUGAUUAUUCACAAAAUAUUUAAUUAUUUGAUAGAUUAUAGAUAAUAAAUGAAGGUGCAUAGAAAAUAUAAGAGGUUUACUUAUAGAUGAUUUAUAUUGGGCUUCUUGUACAAAAUUAGACGCAACAUUAAUUGCACCAAGUAAUUUUUCCAUUUUCAAAUGCAAUUAUGUUUACUAGCACAACAUUCUCGCUAUUAAUCGAUUCAACUUAAUUGUCAACGAAGGCAUGUUAAAAUUCAUUUCAAUAUUCCAUUAUCGAGUUGGAGUAUACAUAGAUUAUUGAAUUAAACAACCUAAUUGUAAAAUCCCUCCAACCCCCCCCCCCCAAUGCCACGCCCAACUCGAGCAUAUGUUUAAUGAUUUCAGCCUAUAUUUUCAUAACCGGACUGAGUAUCGACUCGGCCAAACUCAGGGGGUCAAGGGUUAAUGGGUUCAACUAGAUUCGAUAGGGGUUGAACCGGAUGACGUCAUAAAUAAAAAUUAUUAAAAAAUUAAAAUAUUAUAUGUAAAAUACCUAAUAACAUGUAAAUAUUAAUAAAUAUAUAUUCAUAUAUAUUUGAUGUUUUAAAUAUAUUUAAUAAUAAAAUACAAAGAAAUUAGAACAAUCAAGUAACAAUUUAUAUUAUUUAAUGAGCAUUAACAAGUUUAGAAUUAAAAUUAUGGACUUAAUUGAAAAUUAAUACCAAACUUUAAGAAAAUAUUGAUAAAGUAUGAAAUAUUUGAGAUAUAUUAAUAAUUUUUAACAAUCUAGGGGUCAAAACGUAAUAUUGAAAAAGUUCGAGCUUUUUUUUUUUUAAAUGUUGUUUGAACAGAAAAAAAAUCCGAUUUUUUCCGGUCAAACCCAUUUUUGACCAAAUUUGACUGGAUUUUUACUUACCCAGUUUUUAAGCAUAACUCGGACCGGACACUUGGCCGGUUCUCGAUUCGAUCAAUCGAACUGGCCGGUCCGAUCCGAGUUUUAAAACACAGAUUUCAGCAGCAUCAGUUUUAAACUUAAAUUAGUUGGAUAGUGGAUUUGAGGAAAUAGUCAUGCAUGGAUAUUUAUAGAGUAGCUCGUGGAAUUGGUUAGAUUUGAUGAUUAGUGAUUCAGAGUGUAAUCCUUCUUAUUUUAUAACUCUAGUAAAUUUAAUAAUUUUUCAGAUUACAUAUAAUUGUAUCACGCUCUUUGUAUUUUCCUACCAUUAAUUUAGCUUUCUUCAUAGUUUUUAAACUCAGUCCAGUCCAACGGUUGAAUUGGUCAAACCACUGAUACUGUCAUGGUAUCGAGCCGGUUCAACAAUUGGACUAGAGUGGCAGAUAAUUCGCUUUGAAUCGUUUGAGUCAAACGGUUGAAUCGGUGACCCGGUAAACUCAGUGGGUUUUGAAAUAUUUUUAAAAUUACCUUUUUACUCAAUUUUUUAAUUUGACCAGUCACACCAACAUGGGCAUUGUCAUCUUUUUGAAAAAUAUAUGAGAAAAUUUGAAAAGAAAUAUGGAAAUUAGGGUUUAUUUCUCUUUUGGACACUUAGAUUUAUUAUUUAUGUUUAUAUAUAAUAUCAAUAUGAAUUCAUGAAAUAAGGAACACGUAUGGAUAUGGCUUGUGUGUAUGAACUAUGAAACAUGAAUAGGUUAUAACUUAUUAAUAUUUAAAAAUUUUUGUACUUAUAUUAUAAUUUAUAUGUUUAUUUAAUUAUAUUAUAUAUUUUUUUUAUUAUGCAGUGUGAUCCAAUGAAUCAACCUACGAUCCAUCAAUUAAACCACUAAUCCAUCAAUUCGAUCCUCCUGUUGGGUUGAUACCCGAGUUGAUUUUAAUAACUAUGAUUUUCUUUAUCAAGCAAAUCGUGUAGCAUGAUUUCCAUCCAGUUUAUUAAUACUGUUGGCUUUUGUUUUAUAAAAUAAAAUAAAAAAUUAUUUGGAGCAAAUGUAUGCAGGCCUUCAAUGACGUGACGUGCGAAUCGGCUGAAAGCCUGAAACGGUCCUGGGGGCCGAAUUUGCUGAAUGGGAAUUACGGGAAUUACGACCAAAGCGACAACUUCUUGUUUUUUUUUUGACCAAAGCAACAACUUGCAUCCAGCAAAAGCUGACCAUAUUCGGGAGAAAAGAAAACAGCUGGCUGGGGAGGGAAUGGCGCACAACCUUGAAAGCUUGCAUGCGAAUUUUGACUUUCCAAUGAUAAGUGAAAUUAAAACCUGACAGCCAUAACGAAUUCUACACGUUAGAUAUAUGCUACGACUAGUCUACUACUUUAUAUAUAGUGAGGUUAGGGUUGCAAACGAGCCGAACCGAGUCAAGUUUUGAGUUAAUUGAACCGAGUCUCGAUUAAAUUUUACCAAAUUCGAGCUUGAGUUCGACGAGCUGGCAAUUUUCGAGUUCGAGCUCGACUCGAAUCAAGUCGAGCCGAACUCGAAAAAAAUAAAAAAAAUAUUUUAUUUUUAAAAAAAUAAAUAAAAUAAUAUUUUUUUCUGAAUUAAUAAUAAAAUAUUAAGGAUAUAUACGUAAUUUCAUUAUGAAAAUAAAAAAUAAAAAAUAUAUAUAAUAUACGUAAUUUUAUUAUUAAAUAAAAAUAAAAAUAAAAAAAUAUAUAUAUACUUAAGCUCGCGAGCCGGCUCGAGCUCGAUUCGAACCGCUCGCGAGCGGUUCGAUUCGUUUGCAGCCUCAAGUGCGGUGGCGUGAACGGUACCUCAACCAGUUAUGAAUAUCCAUGUUAUGACAAGUCAUAUAUCGCAUUCUUGUUCUUUUUUUUUUUUUUUUUUAAUAAAAACAGCGGAAGCGUAAAAAGGUCUUGGUAUUUAACAAAGUUGGUGUAAACUAUGAAGUGGUAAGCUUUAAGCAUACCGUUAAGACUUGGCGGCUACCUAGCCAGUAGCCAUACCGUCAGCCUUGCCUUAAAAAAAACGUUUGUUUUUCCUAAAAUAUGUAAAGCCCUAAUCGUCAGAAGAUAAAUUUGCAAACACUGCAAUUAACUCUUGGCUAAAAAUUAUAACCGAAGCAGGAAAUUUUAAAGAAAUAAUUUGGAAGAGGAGGCCUCAACUAUUACAACUAUGAUCGCAGUGGACAAUUUUAUUGAAUGAAUUAUACUAAUAAUUUUGCUUUGGAUGGUUCUACCGAUUUUCAAGCAUUGUAGAAAUUUAACAAAAAAAAGAGAUAUAAAUACUAAUUGUAAUGAGGCUUGCAAAAAGAAGAAAAAAUUGUAUUGAGAUUAAGGUCCAUACAAUGGUGAGUUUUUUUUUGGAUAUUUAUAAGGGAAAAUAACUUGUUUCAUCUUUCACAUUUCGUAAAAAAAUUUUUUUUGACCCUUACAUUUAAAACGAAACAAAUUGGUCCUUCACUUUUAAAAAUCCAAGCAUUUCAUCCUAAAAAUCAACUCUCAGUUAUGAAUCAAACCAUCUAAUAACCCCGUUACAAAUUUUAGGGGUAAAAUUGGUAAAUCAUUUGUGAAAAUAUAUUUCUAACAAAUAAAUUAAACAAUUAAAAAAUCUUAAUUAUAACCCAUUUGCUUCUUCAAAAGAGAAUAGAAGAAGGCAAACCCAAAUCAAUUUGCCUAAUUCAAAACUAUAUAUGCAGAAAUAAUCCGAACAAAUAAACUUCUGGAGAUUUGGAAGAUUGUAUCCUCUUGCAAACCAUUAAAAAUGUCUCUUACUCAGAUUCAGAUCAUUCAAACGCUGCCAAUGGCAAUCACACUCACACACAGGACAAGUAGAGUGACAGUCAACGUUGAGAUGGGAUGAACUCUGGUCAAUGGCGCUGAAGAGGGAGCUGUUUCCUGCAUUGGCAUGAGACCGAAAACAGUAGGAUAAGAAGGAGAAGGUGCAGUUGAAGCAUCAUCUGGUGGAAAUACAUAAGAUCCAUUUCAAGAAAUACAUGAGCUACUGCCUGGUGUUGAACACCGCAUGUGUGUGAAACAUAUGUAUAAUAACUUCAAGAAAGAGCAUACUAGACUUGCAUUAAAAGAUAGAAUAUGGUCUGCUGCAAGAGCUUGCUAUGAAAGCAGAUUUGCUAGUGAAAUGGAACCACUGAAGGCGUUCGAUGUAAAAGCAAAUGGGUUUUAAUUAAGAUUUUUUAAUUGUUUAAUUUAGUUGUUAGAAAUAUAUUUUUACGAAUGAUCUAUCAAUUCUACUCCUAAAAUUUGUAACCGAGUUGUUAGAUGGUUUGAUUCACAACUAAGAGUUGCUUUCUAGAAUGUAAAAGCUUGGGUUUUUAAAUAUGAAGGAUCAAUUUGUUUCAUUUUAAAUGUGAGGGACGAAAAGAAUUUUUUUACGAAAUAUGAGAGAUGAAACAGGUCAUUUUCCUUAUUUAUAAUAUAUCUUACUAUAACUUUUUUUUAGAAGUUAUAAAAAAAACUUUUGUAUGAUUUAAGUGUUUAAAUGGUGUGUAAAAAACUUUCUCCUUUUUUUUCUUUCCUUUCUCUCUCCUUUUUCCUCCUUACUAUCGCCACCACAUUCCCCUUAUAGCCGGCACUAUCACCGUUGCCACCUCCCUUCCUAUCGUAUUUUUUUUCCUUCCUCUUGAGGAUCCCUUCUUCUUCAUCUUCCUCCUCUCCUCCCCCUUUCCCCAGCCACCCUAUUUCCUCCUUCCCCUUUCGCUCCUCUCCCCUAUUGGUUGUGCGACUAGAGCCAUGACCAAAGAGGGAGGAGAAGGGAAAAUCGGAAAAGAGGAAGGGAGAGAAGAAAAGAAAAUAAAUAAAAAAAAGGAGGGUGCUUCAACACCGGUGGAGAAAGAAGGGGCAACAGUGGGGAAAGGAGUGAAAAUGGUUGAAGGAGAUGAUGAUAGGAGAGAGAAAUGAACGUGUAUGUUUUGAUAUUUUAGGUGUACAUAUUGAAAAUUUCAAGAAAUGUUUUCAAAGAGUUACUGUAAACAAAGUUAAAAAAUAUACUUCUCUAUUAAAAAUGUGAAAAAAUAGAACAAUAAACAAGACAUCCAAACAGUCCUUGUGUCAGUUGAUGGUAAGGGACUAGUGAGUAUACAGAUCCAACUAGACCAAGGGAGUUAAAAAAUAUACUUCUCUAUUAAAAACGUACAGACCCAACUAGACCAAGGAAAUACUCUGACACAACCCUUAGAUUUUUUUCACUACAGGUGAGGUUUGAAUCCUCACCUACAACCCAACGAAGGACUUAAACCCCUUUCCGGUGGCCACUGAGCCAUUGGCCCGGUGGUUGUGUCAGGUGAUGGUUUAUAAUGCUUAAUGGUUGAAAUAGUUAUCGCCAGCGAGUGUGAGGUUCAUGGUCCUCUGUCCUCUGACUUUAGCAUGGACGCGAGAUUCGGUUGCAGUUGCAGGGUGGGAACUUCAACAUUUAGGUUUGCGAUGAGAGAAGAACGAAGGUCCCGACAAACAUGAUUACCGAAUGCCGCAGAUGUUCUCUCAUCUGACGUAUCUUUCCCUCCCGACUGGUUAAUGGACCCGCCUUCGUUAUUUAUUCUACAGUAAGCAUCGCGAUUGUCCCAUUUAUGCCUUAAAAGUUGAAUCCUUACCAUUUCCCCACACACACACACACACACACACACAAAAGAAGUUGAAUCCUUACAUCUCCUCAAUAUUCCUAAAUUUUGCACGUGGUAUACGGGUGUGCUACAAGAUUUUCAAGUGCGUGCAACGAUUAGGCUAAGAAAAGCCUAAUCUUGCAUUAUAUGCAGAAAGAUUCUUGAUUAAAGAAUUUACACACCAAACGAAAAAAGGAAUGUAUCGCUUCGAUAUUCAGUUACAUGGUUCGUAGAAUUAAGGAUAAUUAUUGCAGAGUAGCACGCUAAUGUGUUAUUAGCAUGAUUCCGCACACUCAAAUUUAAAUUCCGCCAACAGGAAUGAAAUAGAGUACAUUCCAUCAACAGUUUGUUAACUAGCAAGAGUCAAGAGAGCAUACCCAGAGAUAUUUUAACGACAGAUUAGCCCAUGAGAUUUAUCAGGAAAGGGAUGCAGAAAAGAAACACUCCUAUAAGAGAAUAAAGAGGCACACCUCAUUGACAAAAAGACAACCCUCAUCCCAUCCUUUUCACCCUACUAUGUAGGAACAUUGCGUGGUGGUGUCCCUCGUUACAACCUCCAAUUAUAUGCUACCAUGACAUUCUUACAUCGCAUUUGUCAAACAUCACAUACGUAUUGGGCAGAAUUCACGGCCUCACAUACGCCUUUUAACACUGGCAACAAACUUCAAUAUGCAACUCCAAUGGGGUCAAUCUAGAUGGUUUUGCUAAUUUCUGUUUUCUUUGUUGAUCAUAAAAUAGAUCGUUUUGCUGAUUAAUAUAUAAUGUUCGACCUAAUAUCGGAAGUUUUGUUCCAUCGAAUCAACGUACUCGCCAUCCAUCUCUUUGAUGCCACCUGUCAAAGCAUUUGGGAUUAGUUCCGGUAAGGGUUUUUCCGAAAAAGUGGGAGGCAACUCUUUAGCACACGAUUUUUUUGGUUCCGAGUAAAGCUACAUCAUGGUGGGGUUGAGCAAGCACAUGAGAGGGACUGAUCAGUGCAAUAUAUUCCUGCAGAUGGAUGGUGACUGACUCGGCAAUCUUGAUGGUCCAAGCUGCAGCCAAAACCAUUGCUCCCAUCGGCUGCUUAGACAAUACAUCGACUUUACGCAUGGGAGGACGGGUAAGCACCAAGCAAAAAUGAGGUCUUGAAAAGCUCAGGACAUUGGAACAAACAUGACCUAGCCAAACUUAUCAGUGGCGUUUACGCAUGGUCAUGUAGAUGAUAUCGGUCCAGUCAUGGAUAGGUACCUAAAAAGCGAUACCAAAUUUCUGCAGGCAGUGAUAUCAAGCACGGAAAUAGCUUCUGCUGAGAACGGCAUCACAGUUGGCAAACACUCCCACCCUAGAUGAGGGUAUCGCAGUUCCUUCACUUGGAAUAAAUUUACUGACAUCCCCAACAUUAGAGUUUCCGCCCAAACAAUCAAGUGUCUGCAAAUUUGCUUCACAAAUUUAGGGAGCUUUUAACAAUAGUUAAAGAAAGACGAACAACAUAGCGUCUGCUAUCCACUUAGUUCUGCACGAGUUGGGAUUACAGGAACCAGGAAAUUGCCAAAUGGGGAAUCAAAAAUCCUGUAGUUGCCUGUGCAAUGCUCUUGUUGUGCUUGGGCUACUGCAAAAUUCUUAGCCUGUUGAAUCUUCAGAUUGUUUUUGCUAGUUUGAGCUAUAGGGCCCUGCACAUUAAGUGGAAAUAACUGAAUCUGGCUUAACACCCAUAAAAUAAGCAUCAAUGUGGAUUUUAUAAAAAGUCCAUACUGUCAAUUUAUCUAUUAAUGUCUUCGCAGAUUCAUUGUCAUCUUUUUGUGCAGAAGAAGUCCUGCAAGGGAAGAGCAAAGUUUUUGAAUUUCCAAAACAUGUUAUACAAGAGUACAAGUUAGACAAGUCAGAGUAGCCAUAUCAAGCAUGAUCUACAAAUAAUACAUCUAAUCCAAUCUUGCAGGCAUUUAAACAUGCUAGAUUGUCAUAAAAACUAUACGAGUACUUCUGCUUCAGUAAAAUAAUCAAAUCAACAUACACUGGGGCCAUUGAUCGUUUCAGAUAUAGCUUUGUUUGGAGAAAACCUUUCGUGUUUUCCAUGAAUAUUUCUUCUACACAUUUCCCAAUCACAUUUUCAUGUCACCUACAUCAUAGGUUAGGCUCAACAGGAUUUUAACAUUAAGCAUACGUGCCUAUGUAACCCCCAAAUAGUGUAAACCAGCAAAAGAGCCAAUACAAGAGGGCGAAUUUCAGCUCCCAAAAUCAGAUGACCCUAUUGAGACACUGUCAUUACCUGCUAGAGACCAUUUCAUGAUCCUAUCAUACUUUGCUUCCUAGAAAAUUAUGAAGUUUAGAAUUACUUUCUGUCCUGAUUAUCGACCAUUUGUUGAUCCUGAAAGUUACCCCAAAACCAUCACCACCUCCCCGGCCUACAUUGAACUGUUAAAAUGAUCAACUUUUAGGGAAGCAAGUUCAAUCUCAGUAAUAACUUUUCACAGAGCAAUUAGCAUAAGCAGUCAAAUUACUAGCUUAAAAUCACUAAUCAGAUUCACGAAUAACGAAUUACACAAACCAGCAAGGCUAAUUCCACCAAAUUGAACGAUUAAUGAAGAAUAAAUUACCGGGGAGAAGGUGCAGCGUCGGCUUUCCUCUUCUUCAAUUCAGGCUGAAGUUUCAUUUUUCGCAAUAUUAACUUCUUCGUUUCUGAAAAAGCACAAUAGCAUCACUUGCACCCUUUGUUCAGCCCUUUGUGCAGGAGAGGUCGAUGUUCCUGAUUGAGGGCCCAUAAUAAAAAUAUGCAGUUGGGUUUUAUCCAAAUGGAUUAGGCCCAACUACUUCUUUUGUAAUUGGGUUCUUGGUUUUCCAAAAGGUCUCAUCAUCCCAUUCUUUUUGGACGCAUUGCUCGACCCAAAAAAAAAAAAAACUGGAUUGUACAUUUACAUUAUGGAUCAAACUUUUGUCCUGCAGCCGAAGCACACAUUUUCGCAAGCCUCAUGAGAUUCACGAGCACGAAUUCUACGUACUCGAGUCCACGCACAUUUCAUACUCUUGGUCUGAAUGCCUCGUUUGAGAGAGACGGUAAUAAAAUAGAAUUAAUGUGUUAUACAUUAACAGUGUGUAUAUUUUUUAUUAUUGGGUGCAUGAUACAUAAUUCGAAUUUAAAUUUAAAAUCCAAAUAUUGCACAUGUGUCGUGCAUUCAACUGUAAUAAUGUAUACACUGUUAGUGUAUAUAAGAUUUACUCAAUAAAAUAAGUCAUCUUAGGAUUUCAGAAUUCCUUCCAAAAAAAAAAAAGGAAGGGUUGAGAAUAGCAGCAGCAACUAGUAGUGAUAUUCCUGGCGUGGCGUCCCCCACCUCUUCAUUUCCACAUCUAGUACUAGACUCAACAACACUAAGGGAAAAAUUGAAAAAGGUUUAUUCCAAACAAGUGUGAAAAGAAAGGAUAAUUUAUAUUGACUACUUACACAAAGUAGGCCAUUACGAAUUCGAUCGCACUGAGAUUUGCAUUUUAUUUAGGCUGGAAAAAAAAAGGGAACAUUGAAGAUCAAAAGAUGAACCACAAACCUAAGUUGGAAAAGUCCAAACAAAAAUGGCAUGUCGUUCUUCUAUAAAGCAUUGCUCCUAAAAACAUUUUAACUCGAGCAUAAUCGAUUUUUAAAAUGUUAUCCAUAAAGAAGUUAGCACAACUUUCACUAACUCAAGGUUAAAAAAAGAUGGGAAAAAACUAAAACAAAAAUAAAAAGAAGCCACUUUGUUUGACAACUAACCAGCGCGUACAUGUUCGAAAUUUUCUUCUUUUGCUUUUGGCCAAGCUAACUUUUUUGUUUUAUAAAAUUCUUUGCUCUCAACCCGUGCUGAAGAAAAUUCUGGCCAAAGAUGUGAAACAGUAGCAGUAUGUGAUUAUUGGGGAUGUUAUGUCCUUCCACGUUUCGUCUUUAGAAACGGUAACGAAAUUAUCAAGUCCUACAAAAUUAAUCACUACUUGUAGUUACUAUUAAACUGAUUGUGUAGAUAUAGAAUAAGUCAUCUCAAUCAAUCUUGGUCGAGUAUCUAGUUCGACCGGUCAAUUCUUCUAGAGAGAUUUUGCAAUCAUUGAUUACAACCCAAGAUCAACGUUUUAAUUGUGUUCUUUACAGUCAUGUUUCUUUGUGGGAAACGGGCUAUGGGGAGAAAUUUUAAUCACAACCUGCAAUCAAUCGCGGAGGUGAUUAAGCUCGUUACUAUUAGUAACAGACUUUGACCUGGGGCAAUGCAAAGACGAUAAUUGUAGCGUGACAAGGCGGACGUAGUGGUGACUUUUCCUUUUUUUUUUUUUUUUUUCGGUGGGAUCUCAUGUGUUCGAUCGAAUGAUGUUGUACGGGACGUCGUAGCAUUCUAAAAGCCAAGAAAAUCCACCAACUUUUAGUACAAUAAGAUCCUUGAAUCCAAUAUCCAUAUAUAUAUCAAUAAUUUUCCUCCACAUUAGCAGCUCUAUUCUAUGUAAUCUGAUCCCCAAAUCCUCCCAAAUCUAACACUAAUCAUUCUAUAACUCUCUGAUUUGAUGGCAAUAGUCAGAAAAAUCAUUUUCUAAAUCACCAUUUUGCUAACUGUCAACAUAAGAAUAAGUAAUAGAUUUCCAGCUAGCUUAAUAGAGUAGUGGAUGUUGUUGACUUGUUUCAUUCUCAAGUGACAACUUCUCUAUUUCACGAUGCUCCUGUAUCCACGGCCAUCAAACCAUUGCUAGCAAUCUGCUGAGUGAAUGAUCAGCUCAGUGCCACCGUAAAUUUUUUAGCUACAUUUGGCUUAGAAGUGGGAAGGUUGGUAGGUUAUCUUACCCUUCUUUUUGGGAGAAAUGGAGUCUGCCCUUCAUCCAUCACUCCGUAUACUUAUCCAUGGAAUAUUUUUUUUCCUGACAUAAAAGAGUAAAUAUUUCAUGAGUUUCUUUUUUAUUUUAAAGAGAGAGCGUUUUAGAUACUCCCUCCGUCUCACUUUGAUAAUUCUGUUUUCCUUUUUCGUCUGUCCAAAAUUGUAGUUCACUCUUCAAUUGAAAAAUAUAGUUAUUUUUUAAUUUCUCUAAAAUAUCCUUAUUUAAUGUAGGUUGUUAUUAAUAUAAACUACCUUAUUUCCAUUUGAUACAUUUAGAUUUUCCAAAAUAUAUUUGAAAAGCCAGUUUUGUUAUUCUUUCAAGCCAAAAUGUGAAAUAAUGUAAAAUGAGGAUUGAUUCUUUUUUGAUCAUCAAUUCAAGUUUCCAUGAAUAAUUAAUAUAAAAUUAUACUCUAUUUAAUGUAAGGGCAUUUUAAGAAAAAAGCAACCUAAAUUUAUUGUUCCAAUAAAAUUAACUACUUUUUUUUAAGCUGUGUAGAAAAAAAAACUAGAACUAUCAAAAUGGGACAGAUGGAGUAAUUGUUAAGAUGCGUGUUUCAUUCUUACUACUAAAAAAAAUUAGCACAUGAAACUAUCUUGUUAGCCAAACACAUAUUUCAUUACUUCUGUGUGUUUUGAUAUGAAAGUUAAAACUCUCAAAAAGUUUGUGCCAAUCCUCAUAUGUCGAUUAAACAUCAAUUGCAUAUCCUGUCAUUGACACUUUGAAUCCAUCAACAAAAUUUGACCAACAAUAACUCUGUGGGCUAGCUACCAAAACGAAUGAACUACAAAUAAAGCGACUUUUACGAGAAUGUGCAUUAGAUAUCGAAAGCUGAAGAAUUUGCUUCCAACUUUUCGAUUCUGCAUCAAUUAAGGAAUCAUAUCCCACCGGUCAUAUGUGUUUAACUUUGCGAAAGAACCAUUUCAACUUUUUUGACCCGCAUUAAAUUACUACAAGAUCAGCUGAACCGACCCCAUGAACGCCUUUUUCAUGUCAUUGGAGAAAUGGUGGGACAAGCAGGAGCACCUGGUUUGGUUUGGAUGCCAUAUGAUAUUACAGUUUAUGGGAUCCCACAAAUGUGCAUUGCUGUCAAAUUUUGUUCUAACGACAAGAAAGGUUAACGCCUUAAUUUUAAUUUCGUUGUGGGAAUUACGUGCCGGAAAUGCGAAGGAGAAGCCGACCGGACCAAUUUAGUUGGCCAUGUCGAAACCAGUCAGCAAACACUCAGAGGCGAACCUAGAAGGGCAAAAGGCUUUGGUGGUGGCGCUGUUUCUGAAAUUGCCUAAUUUGGUUUCACAAUUCCAACCAUGUGCAUAAAAUGCCACCCACGUUACGUGGAAUAUCUAAUGCGUGUGGGUCUCAUCUUCCAACUCUCCCAACUAUUCAUGUUUCUUCUCCUUUAUUUCUUCUUUAACGGAGUCCAUAUUUUCCAUCGCAGGACAAGGCAAUUAAAGCCUAGCUAAAAUGUUCCAUCUAACCAAGUACUCCAAUUAAGAAAGAAAGCGUCAGUGUGUGUGUGUGUGUGUGUGUAUAUAUAUACACUAUAAAAGAUUGGUCAGUCCCAUACGUACACGAGGGAGACAGCAUCAAUCAAUUUGAAUCCUAGAAAAUUGUAAAUACACAAAAUUUCAGGUGAUGCCCUUUUUUUGGGAGUUUCUGCUUCUUGGUAAAUGGCUGUAACGUAUGUAGACUGCUACAAGUAGUUUCCGUAUCUUUCUUUGUUGUUAUUGCGCUGGAGUCUGGAGCCGAGAAGCAGAUGAGCUGUGCGUCAUAUGACAUACCCUUCUGGCUUCUGCUACGCCUUCUCAUCUUUCACAUGCCUGAUUUUUUAUGCUAUCAUACUUCUGGUUGUGUUUGGACUGAUAUAGACCUUUGGUUUGCUUUAACAUGGCACUUUUACCUCCCAAAAUUGGAAUACUUCCCUAAUUUGGAUUGGAAAUGCUGCCUACUAAAGGUGCACUAGCACUCGGAAGAUUCUUUGGCCUUUUUUUGAUAAUUACAACACAACCUUUAUGCGACAUGUAGUGUAGGAUUCACAAAUGUGUAUCCAGGAGGCGAUAAAGUUUUUAGGUUAUCGAUCGAUUUGGGCCGUUGAGACCAAAUUGUGCUCUUUUCUCUUAUGGCUUUGCUUUUCUUUUCUUUUUUGUGUUUGGUUGAGUCUCUUUUAGGCUCUUCAAAAUUUACUCUCAUAGGGUUUUCUAUCUUUUCAUAGGGUUAUCUAGUGAGAAAUUUCCGAAAUUUUUAGUGAGAGUUUUUUUUUUUUUUAAGAUUCUCUAUUUCUUUUGUUAGGACGAUUUUUUUUUUUUUUUUAAAUUUUGAUUUUCCCUUAGGUCUAUUUCAUCAGAUUUUACCGUAAUAUUUGAGAUAGAAAAAGCGAUUUGCAGAUCUUGCGGUUAGAAAUGUACACAAAUGCCCUUGAGGAGGCUAUAAGUGCUUUAUCAAUGUGACUCUUUAUUACUCUCUCCUUCCCAUCCAUCCCGAUAGUUCUGUUUUUUUUUUUCGUCUGUCCCAAAUUAUAGUCCAUUCUUCAAUUGAAAAAUAUAAUUAUUUUUUAAUUUCUCUAAAAUACCCUUAUUCAAUGUAGGUUGUUAUUAAUAUAAACUACCUUAUUGAAUAUAGAUUGUUAAUCUACCCCACAGAUUUUCCAAAACAUAUUGAUAUAUGAAAAGCCAGCUAUGUUAUUCUUUCAAGCCAAAAUGUAAAAUGAGGAUUGAUUCUUUCUUGAUCAUCAAUUCAAGUUCUCAUAAACUAUCAAUUCAAGUUUCUAUGGAUAAUUAAUAUAAAGUUGUACUUUAUUUAAUGUAAGGAUAUUUUAGAAAAAUAGCAAUCUAAAUUUAUUUUUCCAACAAAGUUAACUACUUUUUCUUAAAGUAUGUAGAAAAAAAAACUAUGGCUAUCAAAAUGGGACGAAGGGAGUAAUUUGCUAAAUCGGUAGUUACUGUUUUCAUAUCAGUUGUAUUUUAUUGUAUAUAUCAAAUAUAAUGUAUGUUAUUAAUGCAUAUUUAAUGCAAUUAUGAUUUUACAAAAAAUCAGAUUUCAUUAGACUAUAGGUUAACAAAUUUUUAUGCUUUUAUAAUCAGGGGAAAUUUUGACUGUACAGACGGCGGUAUUUCUACAGCAAGACAUGAGAGGACAUUGCCUGUGUAGCGAAAUUUUUAGAGUUCCUCAAUCUUAAUCGUUCUUCGACUUAAAACCAGCCGUUUUCGAACAGAACAAAUUAAAACUACGGACCGCUUCAAAGUUCAAACUCACCCUACUGACUAGUCUACUCCUUCACUUGAAGAAGCCCAGAAGACGGUUAAUCUUUGGUUAUAUAUUUCCUUGAAACGAAAAAAAAAAAAAAAAAAAAACUUUGAUUGGUUUGAGAAACCACUACUGUUUCUUGGAAGUCAAGAAAAAUCCGACGAGUUGUUUUCUGUUCUUGACAAGUUGGCCGUUAACGAGAAGCCGAGCCUGUCCUGAACUGAAGCGGAUGCUAAAUGCUGACAUCAUAUGAAUAUGGCGGUUUGGUGGUUUUUAAAUCAUUCACCAAAACUUGGGGCCAACUAGCUGAAAGUUAUGUUCUUCUUCACAUUUGUGGGGCGAUUACUUUUAUAUGGGCAAUUUUGAAGGGCCCCAUCGUUAAGUGCGCAGUGGACUGCUUCUGUCAAAGUGCAGUGGCACCAGAAUCGAAUUUAAGAAAACCUCCGUCAGUUGUUCCUCUUCCUCAUUGGCUUGCAUGACAGUACAAUCUGGAGAGCUCUUAAAAGAAAUAAAUAAACAGAUUAACAAAAUUAAAAAAAAAAAAGAAUAAUUAAGAAGAAGAGGGAAAACCAGAGAUCAGAUCCAUUCUUCAAAUUUCCCUUCAGGUUGCAGCACAGAGAAAGAAAAAAAAAAAGAAAGAAAGAAAAUACUGGCCAUCAUCCAUAUAUGAUGUUGUUUCCUGCUAGAUACUAAAAGCAGUGGCUAUUCCAUGUGAAGCUACAAGAACAAAGUGCAAUUCCAGAUGGUAUUUUUGAUAAAUUGGCCAAAAGUCAAAUGGAAAUUAUUUUUUUAAAAAAAUUUAUUUAUGUUAUCUAGUACUACAUUAUGUUCCUAAUAAUUCAAAAUAGGACCCCAUAGCUUACGGUUGCGAAACUAGGCUUUAAUUGAGCCACAUUCCAUAUGGAAUCCAUAUUUAUGAUGUUGAUCAACAUCAUAUAAAUUUACAACGGUUUUGAUUGGUUGAGAAAAAAAAAAAAAAACAUCAGACAACGUGGUUUUAUAAAUCUUAAUUGAUUGGUUUGUGAAUUGGGAUCCACAAAUUCUAGUAAUAAAGUUAGCAGAUAGCUUAUGGAUAUUUCUAGUAAUUAAAUAUUUGCAGGCAAAAAGAAAAAGCGUGAGAGGUACGUACGACCUGUUUACAAGUUUAAUUUUAUCUUCAAUGAAAUAUUUCAUUGUCUUUGCAUCUUGGAAUUUCCUAAUAUUAAAACUAAUCUUCAGCUGUCUUUUUUGUUUUCCUUUUUUUAUCUUGAAUUUUUUUUUUUCUCAUUAUCUAUUCAGUCAAUUUUCUUAAAAGCAGUCGGUGCAAAUGGAACUCCACGUCAAGAUUGACUUGCAUGGUUUUACGGUCAAGUUUGGUUAGUGGCAUGCCAAAAAACCAGGAUCCAUUUUGGCCCAUGAAUUCAGAGCAACGGGCAAUUUCUUUUCUAGUGAUUUUCCUCGAUCAUGUUUGUAUUAUUCUUGGAUGUAACACUCGUGAAUCAUGUGGUCAAUGUGGGAACUGGGUAUAACUGGAGCUGUAAAUAGAAAUUUUGUUUUAACUUUAAAAAAAAAAAAAAAAUCACGUUUAGGCUGAAAGAAGAUGCAGCAUAGAGAACAUGCAAACCAAGUUGAAGGCAGAAGCGGGCGUUUUCUGCUAAAAAAUCAGUAGUACUCCCCAGCCCCAGGUAGAGAUAUUCAUAUUUACACGUUAAAAUCUAGAGCAAACAUAAUGUACUGCCACGUUACUCGAUCAUUCAUGCAACAAAAUUUGGGUCUGUAUUAAACAAAAGGGAUUAUUUGACAAACUGGAGUGGAGAGAAAAUCCUGAAGAUAUCGACAGAAGCAAGUCACCAGUUGUCACUGUAAUCAACAUCAGAUCAUGUGCUUAGCCUAAUUUUUCUAUGCCGAGGCCGGCACACAUGAGUUAAUCAUUUGCCCAUGCACGACUUUCAACAUUUUUGUAAAAUGUUCGAGUUACUUUUAGAGGGAAAGCAGCUAUCGAAAACUUUGGAAGUAUUGAAUUCAGAUUGUUUGGAUAGCAAAUUAUACCAAAUAAUAUUUCGUUUGCAUCAUAAACACAUUUUUUUAAUUCAUCUUUUUAUAUUGCUAAGAAUUUUUUUAUCUCACAUAUAUCACAUCACAAAAAGUUUUACAGUAAUUAUCAUAAAUAAUAGUUCAAAUAAUACUCUGCCCAAACAAACCCUAUGGAGUGUGUUUGGAUAGAGUAUUAUUUGAAAUAUUAUUUAAAAUAAUUACCGUAACACUUUAUGUGAGAUAAAAAAUAGUUAAAAAUAUUUAAAAAAAAAGUGAAUUGAGAAAUACGUUUAUAAUGCAAGCAAAAUAGUAUUUAAAAAAAUUAAACAAUCCAAAGACUAGACUAAGUGUAUUUGGAUAGCCAAAUAAAGGCUACAAAUUAUUUGCUUACAUCACAAAUACAAUUUUCAACACACAUUUUUAUCUUUCCAAUUACUUUUUUAUCUUAUAUACAUCACAUCAUAAAAAGUGCUACAGUAAUUAUUCCAAAUAAUAUUUCAAAUAAUCUCCUAUCCAAACACACAAGAGCAUAUCGAACCUGGCUGUCAGGUUUGUUGGGGGUAGGCAGGAAGUUUGAAAAUAAAAGUAAAAAAAAAAAAAAAAUCUCUUCAUCUCUUCAACAUAUUUAAUAAAGUUCACCACUCGUUAGUUUUUUUUUGGGGGGGGGGGGGGGAGGGGGGAACAAGCAUUUGUUAAUUGUUAUAUUCACAAUUCCUUUGUAACUCUUACGUAGCAGUGAAUUACCGGCUAGAUAAAAUAUUACUACUAGUCUACUACUAUGUAACUAAGGGAAAUUAAAUAUGUAUAGAGGUUCCGCAUUUCCUUGUUGAAGGUUUUCUCUCAUUGGUCGUUGGGGAAAGGGAAAAAGGGGAGGGGAGGGGAAUAGGGAGAAGAUCUGGACAAGGAUAUUAAGAUUUUGUUUGGAUAGCAAUUUUUUAAAUUACUACGUUUUUCGUUAAUGCAUUUUUUAAUUAUUUUUUUAUUUUAUAUAUAUCAAUUGCUACAGUAAUUUUUCUAUAAAAAAUUUAGAAAAAUGCAAUCCAAACAUGAUCAUGACAUUUCAACGAAUUAUUUUGAAAGGGAGACCUCUAUUUUGGAAAUUCUUCUUUCAAGAAAUUUUUUAUUUAUACGCUUUUAGUAUAUACACACGAGCACGAGCAGAGUUAUAGAUUCAUGACACGUAAUUCAAUUUUACCGUGACAGUGAAAGAAGUUGAACCCUUCUUUUUGGUCCCCACAGAUUUACAGCUCAGCCUUAAGGAUACAAUAUAUUAUUUUGCUACGUAACCAAAGGAUGGUUGAAUUUGGAAGUCCAUUGACUGUUUUCUUCUUCGAAGGCUUUCAGGUUUUCUUCUUUACUGGAAACGUUGUACACGUUAACGUCAUAUUGCUCCACAGGUUAUUAGUUAAACAGAAGAAACUGUAGAUUCAAACCUUGAAUAUAAUAAGGUCCGUAACGGAACUCAUGAAACAAGUACCGCUAAAUUGAAAAGGCCAAAAAAAAAAAAAAAAGAUCACUGAUAAUGCUUUUCCCGUAUCUCUUACGAAUAAAAAGGAAACCCCAAAAAGAAAACGAAAAAAAGAAUCUAGCCCAAAAAGACUGCUGUAGGAACGGAUUCAAUAAUGUACGGAAUGGUUUUCUGUCAGUUACGAGAUGCAAGCAGCCGUAACAAUAACUUCUAUCCCGGUCUCUGUCUUCUCUGUUCCUUAUUUAUGCAGUUGCCACGUGUUUCUAAUUAUUUAUUAAUCCAAAUUCAAACAAAUCGAUAAUAAUCGGUUGACAAGUUUACUCAAAACCAAUUAAAAUAGAUAACUCAAAACUUUUUUUUUAAUUUUUUUUUAACAAAAAAGAGUCUUAUUGAUCAUAAACGUAGAAAUCAACUAAAACUCUUCUUUAUUUUUUAUCCUAACCAACUAAAAUUCAACUCUUCUUUAUUUUUUACCCUAACCAACUAAAAUUCUUCUUGAUUUCUACGUUUAUGAUCAACAAGACUCUUUUUUUGUUAAAAAGAAAAUAAAAAAGUGUUGAAUUAUCUAUUUUAACUGCUUAAUCAAUUAUUAUUAUCGAUUUGUUUGAAUUUGGGUUAACAACGAGUUAGAAACACGUGGUAACUGUACAAAUAAGUAAUCGAGGGAAUAGAGACUAAUUUGUGGGGGCAGAAAAUUUGAAGCCUAACUUACAAGAGAAAGUAGUGUAACCGUAAGUUUGUUGCCCAUUUACGUUCAUUCAGAGAAUCAGACAUUUCUCCAGUUCCCCUUACUUGAUUGAUCAUUUAUCUACUUACUUUAAAUGUUUGAAAUUUAGAAAACAGUCACGUCCUCAUUCUAGCUUUAGUCCCUUGCUAAACCUUUUGUGUUGAGAAAAGAAAAAUUAGACUAACGAGUUGGAUAAAGGAAGGCAAUGGUAAUAAAUCAACUUGCUCUUUAAGAUAAUAAUAAUAAAAAAAUCCAUCUAACUGAUACAUCUACAUCGAUCAGAUCGCGAACCUCAAAAAAUUCAUAUCAAACUAGUAAAGGAUACAAUGGUCAUUUUUUAUUUUAUUAUAUUGUAAGCCUACUUGUUUAUACUCUGUCUAGAUUUAUUUACACUGUACUUUUACUUCUUUACCCUUCAGAAACAAAACUGAUUGGAAUUGGAACUUGUGUGGUCUUGAUCCCAUCUACAUCUCUUACUAUAGCUCAGCUGGUGUUCCUUUAAAUUAGUAGUUCAACCGAUGGUUCAAUCAGAAUCAGUGAUAUAUAUUUAUUUUUUUUUUGUUUGGCUAUUUAACGAAUUUCUUGUUAGAAUUAUCUUCUAAUAAUUAGUGACUCAAUCCGGUUCCAUAAUGGUUGAUCGGUUUAACCGUGGAAUGGGACCAGUUUUAAAACUGCUGGUUAUGAGGAAGGAGAUGCUUCCGCUGCCGCUGCUGACGUGUAAGACGUAUGACGUGGGAGUAGGCCCAACACUCCGGCUAAAAUUUCAGAGACCAAUCCGAUUAUCGAAAGUGCGAGCUGGAAGACUUGCCCCAGAUCGAAAAACCCCAAAAUCCGACCCACACCGUAGAAAAGGCAGCCCACCGUCACGUCCGCCUUUCGCCCCUUACCCUUAGCUCGAAAGGAAACUUUUCCAUCUUCAGAUGCUCUGCCAGUGGACAGAAAUCAGAAAACAUACGCACAGUUCAGAAGAAAAAAACACAGGCGAAGAAAAGAUCCAAAGAUGGUUAAGGCAUUGCACGUGUGCUACUCACGUGUUUUUCUUUCCCUCUUGUGCAUACUUUUUCCCUCAGAAUUCUUUCAUUUCAACCCAACGAAGGAAAGAAAUUUUUUUUUUUUAAAAAAAAAAAAGGAAGAAAGAAAACAGAUUGAGAGCAGAAAAGUAUAAGAUUCUUCUCACAUCAUACUCAAUCAUAAUUGAUUGAAGAAGUACCUCUCCGGGAGAAUACUCGCAUUCACGUGGUUUCCUUUUCCUCGUUCAUCCAUUCAUGCAUCCCAAUUCUGAAACUUGCAAGAAUUUCAAUCGUUGAACAGUUCUCAGAACUGCGAAAGUUGCUAAUGCGUGAGAUGGUCAGAACUUGCAAGUCUUUUCUUUCUUUCUUUCUAAUUUUUUUUUUCAAAAGAUAUAUAAAUUAGUCCUUUCCUUUCUUCCAAAAAUUUUUUUUUUUGUCGUGAAUUUGGCUAAUUAUGACGAGUUUGACAUUACGACCAAAACUCUCAUUGUCACCGACUGAUUGGUAAUUGGUAAGGUAAGUUUGUCACUUCGGUUCGUGGUUGUCCCUGCUUCCUGUCAGCACGACAUACUCUUGCGCCAGAAGUACACAAGCAGUGUUGCUGUUUGGGAAGAGACAUCUGCCAACCCCAGAAAAAACUAAACAGCUCCGUUUAGACCGAACAUUAAUUUGCAACUUUAUUUUUUUUGGGAUAAUUUAUUUUAACACUUUUUCAAAUGUGAUAUAGUAUAUGAUAUUUAAAAACUAAUCAAAAAUCUUGUUUAGCAAAUAAUAUGAAAAAAAAAUUCUUUUUUAAUAAAUUUUCAAUUACUAGUUCCUUUUUUUUUUUGGAAAAAUUGAGAAUUUUGUUCCAGACUUAUACUCGUUGACUCCUAAUCUAGCCUUUUUGAAGUGAAUUUAUCAAUUCCCAAAAUUUCUGUACUGUUUCGUUUGCUGGGACUGGUGGAAGGAGAUGUUAUCUACAUCUUAUGGAAUUUCCCACCCAACUUUAUUAAGCAAUUUCAACAAUUUAGUCGAAAAUAUGUUCUUCUUAUCAAAAAAAAAAAAAAAAAAAAAAGGAUUGGUGCAAGGAGAUGCUAUCUACAUCAUACGAAAAAGCCGUCCAUGCGAGAGUUUGGUUGGAAUUGUGAGUUCUUAAUGCAUGUGUUUUCAUGGGUACAUACAAUACAAUAAAUGACUGGCUUGGCGUAGUGCCUAAAACGGAUUCCUUCGACCAUGAUUUACCCGCAUACAGUAACUAUUAGACUCAUCACGCGAUGCGCAAGUGCAGUUUUCAAAGUGUUGCGUAAAAAAAUCCCGAUCACCGUAAAAAACAAGAAAUAAAAUUAGGCCAUAAAAAGGUAAUUGUCGAGUACAUAAUUUUUUUUUAUUGUUUGUUUAGAGGGCACUACAAUUCUUAUAAUAAAGAGGAAAAAAAGGAGAAAGAAGGAAUUGAGAGAUAAACCUCAUUGUUAUCUGAUGCGACUGUCAAAAGUAAGACUCGAGCUGAACUGAUGCGGACCGAGCUGGCCGAGGGCGACCAAGCUGAGAGGGGGAAAGCAAGCGGGCUAUCCUGCAAAGAAAGGGCAAAGGCGGGGCUGAAGUUUUCGGAGUAGCUCCGACGAUCAAAUCAGUGAGAGCUUAAGAGUAAAGUAACAAUAUAAAGUACUGUAGAUGGUGUACCUUGUGUCGUCGUAUGAGACUACAUUUAAAAGCUUGCGGGUAGUAAUUUUUAUAUAGGAGUCGGAGUCCUCUAGGGUUUGGAGUCUCUCUAGGGUUUUGUGUGAAUACUCUGAACAGUCCGGAGGCCGCGGCCCACUAGGCCCACCUGAUAGAGAGGCGGCAGCGUCGGCCGAGCUGGUGCUCUCCAGCCUACCUGGCUGAUCCGAGCUGGCAGGGCACCAUGGCCGAACUGACACGUGGCGACUGUCAAUUGGUCCCACUACACUAGCCCCCCUUUGAGUCUAGAAUUAUCGAAAGGUCGCAUGAGUUUGGACCAAAUUUCGAGACAACGGGUCAGUUCGGAGUGGAGCCCACGAUCCCAUGACAGCUGCCUUUAUCUAAGUAACUGUUACAUUUGCUUGCGUAAUUGGUACUUCAAAGGUCAUGUUCCAUUAUGAUGGCGAUUGUCAGCCUAACCGUCACCUAAGGCGACGGUUUUCUAGUAUUAAAUUUAAAAUUUUAAUUUGGGGCUCUUCAUCUUUCCAUUCGAGUGGCCUAUAAAUAAGCUCCACCAGACGCCACUUUCAAGCUUCCUUCCUCAUUUUCUCUAUUUCGAAAUUUCCAUUAGCUUACACCACGCUUAGUGUGUUCGUCCGAAAGUAGCGUCCCCUUCUAAGCACCUACCAGCUCUUCUUCCUUAUCUGCUAGUAAGUCAUCUUUUCCUUUUAUGUAUUCUUCUUCCAUACAUUGAGACAUCACUAGUUCGGCACCUAAGUGUAGAGUAGCCCAACUUACCCUAAUAGAAAUAAUUUCUUCUUCUUUUAGCUCUCCUUCUUCCAGCUCGUCUGAUUCUGAAUAUCUUUCUUCUCCCAUUCGUUCACCAAUCUGAGCCAUGAACCCAUCCGACCAGCCUGCCCAGCCUGUUGGGGGAGCUGCUGUUCAGUGUAUUCCCCUGGAAGCAGCUCCUAUUAAUACCAGGGCAGGAACCUCCGGGGGGCAUGACAUCGACUUCGGGGAAGUUGAGAUAAUAUCCCCCUCCUAGAUCAGGCAAACGUAGAUGAGCUGGUGGAGAGGUAUGAUAUCCCUCCUCAGUUUGAGGCCAGGGUCGCCCAACCUGGUUAGUACGCCAGCCAAUCUCCUUAAGGCUUUGUGGCCAUCUACAGAAAUCAGUUCAUAGCUGGUCUCCGUUUUCCGAUUCCUCACUUCCUUUACCAAAUUCUAACCUUCUGGGGAAUUCGGAUAACCCAACUCGUCCUUAAUGUUGUUCUGUCGAUCCUGGGCUUCUUUAUCUUAUGCGGAGUCCUCGAGAUCCCAUAUUCCUUAGACCUGUUCAGGUCAUUUUUCAAAUAAAUGUCAACAGUCCGGUCCACAGUUGGUUCUACGUCGCUCGUAGGAGCGGGAAGGGGGGGGAGCUCCCAACCCGUGAGCUGUUCUCGCACGCUCCUUCCUCUAUUAAGGGUUGGAAGGCCCAGUUCUUUUAUGUGAAGAACACAGGCUUUCCUCCCUUGACCUGAAGGGAGGAGACCCAGGUGUCCGACCCCAUUUCUUCGUCCCUGCCAGCGGCCAAGUUGGACCGCCUGGUUAGUUCGGGAGCUUGGUUGAAGGUGAAGGAAUUCAACAACGCCCAGGUUUGGUCCGCGGGGCUGAUUUGGGCAGGGGUGAAUAACCCUGCUCCUGAUCUCCGACCUCUCACCCUCGAGGAGCUGACAGCUUGUAAAUUAUUGAUCUCAUACCCCUUUUCUCCUUCUUUUUUAUGAGUUCAGCUAUGUUGUCCGAACUAACCUCUCCUCUUUGUCCUGUAGUGAAGAGAUUUUCCCAACUGUUGAACAUAGGGGAAACUGGCAGUUCGAGCACGCCUGCUACUGAGCUCUCCACCGUUCCUGUCAGCGUGGCUUCUCUUGCAAUGGUAUUGAUCACUUCAGCUAAGUUAUGAGCUUCCUGCUUGGAAGUUUGGCUACGUGGCCCCUGAGGUCGAUCAUGUGAGUAGCCUAGGCGCACUUGUUUGUACCUUCCUUGCCUCUGGUCGGCUCGUUCAUCACGUAUGAACUGUCUGAGGUGGUCUCGCUUGAUCAACUUUUCAAUAUCUUUCUUGAGGUAGCGGCAAUCCUCCCACAUCAUGAUGAUAAACGCAAUACAAACCCCGAUCCAACUUGCUUUUGUCCCCAGCCAAGGGUCGGGGAGGGCGGGAGAGUCAUUCUUGUUCCAUCACAUCAAGGACCUGAACUCGAAGCGCUGUGAGGGAAGUCCAGGGUUUAUCUCCUCCCAUGGGCCGACUCCUAGGCAGGCGGUCGUAGGUAUUCUUCGGUCCCUGGCCGUGCCACACGUCUUCCUGGUCGGUGCUUUUCCUGCACUUGUCAUCCUUCAAUAUUUUUUGCGCUUUUCAGGCGAUUGGCCUCUUCAGCGUUGGCUUUCUUGUGAGUUCGGUCCAGCAUCUCCCGAACUGACUUGAGAGGUCUCUCCACGAGCUCGGUGUAUAGUUUCUGCUUACGCAGCCUGUUAAUGAAAGCGGCCAUGACUACCUUGUCAUCCCGGUCACGGAUCUGGAGGGAUUCGUUAUUGAAACUCAUCAUGUACUUGCGCAAUGACUCCUCGGGCCUCUGCUGGAUGGUCAUCAAGUGAGCAGUGCUUUUGGAAAAGGCUCGCGACGAAACGAGCUGAGCGGCGAAUAGCCGCGCGAGCUGGCUAAAUGAUCGAAUGGACCUAGGAGACAGCCCCUGGAACCACUGACAUGCCUUCUCUCCAGGAACAUGGGGAAGGUCUUGCACCUGAUCUCGUCCGCGGCAGUUUGUAAGCGCAUUUGUGUCAAGAAUGCGAAUAGAUGGUCCUCCGGAUCCGUGGUCGCAUCGUAGGAUUUCAUACUCGGUAUCUUGAAUUUCGUGGGCAGUAGAUAGUUCUCAAUAUCGAGCACGAAGGGGGAGGCAAUGUACCUGUCCGCCUCAGGGUCCAAAAGUAGGUCUAGCUCAUCCUGUACCUGGUAUUCCUCUUUAAGUAUGAAGAGCUCUCUCCUGGAGAACAUUCGGAAGGGAUCCAAGUGCUUAGUUCGGGAGUUCUUGUGGGAAGGCUCCACGACCUCGAUCUGUUCACGUGUAAGCUCCUUACGCGCCCGCUUUGGCCGAGGGUUAGGACUCCCUAUACGGGACUCGGACAGUCCAACUCUUUCCACUCCUUGGGCCUUAGGUCCUGGUCACAGUGGCCUCCCGCCUACUCUUUGAGGUUGUCCAUGAUUGCCUCAAAAGUAGGUAGGUUUUCCGCCACCGUCUGAACCAAUUGUUCAGACGGGAUUCGUGAGAGCCCCGUCCUUUCGUCUCUUGGAAUUGGACCCCGGGGGAGAUUCUGGGGGCCGCUUCGCUCGUUCCACUUGGAUCCGUCAGCGUUCCUCUGGGACCUAGUCCUUGGCAUGGUUCGCAAGAGAAUAAUUACGUGUUUCCCAUAGACGGCUCCAAUUGAUACGAUUGCCAAAAGUAAGGCCUGAGCUAAGUUGAUGCGGACCAGACUGGCCAAGGGCGAACGAGCUGAGAGGAGGAAAGCAAGCGGGCUAUCUUGUAAAGAAAGGGCAAAGACGAGGCUGAGGUUCCCAGAGUAACUCCGACGAUCAAGUUAGCGAGAGCUUGAGUGUAGAGUAACAGUAUAGAAUACUGUAGAUGGCGUACCUUGUGUCGUCGUAUGAAGCUACAUUUAUAGGCUUGCGGAUAGUAGUUUCCAUAUAAGAGUCGGAAUCCUCUAGGGUUUGAAGUCUCUCUAGAGUUUCGCGUGAAUACCCCGGAUGGUCUGGAGGCCGCGGCCCACUAGGCCCACCUGAUGGAGAGGCGGCAACGUCGGGUGAGCUGGUGCUCUCCAGCUGACCUGGCUAAUCCGAGCUGGCGGGCCACUGUGGUUAAGCUGACAUGUGGCGACUGUCAAUUGGCCCCACUACAUUAUCUUCUUCUAAUUAAUAAAUAAAUACUCUGUUUCGUUGCCAUCGUUGCAAGAGGAGCUUUCUAAAUUCUAAUGGCAAUGGACCGGUUGUUUUUCUAUCCGACAGCUGGCUAAUGCAAUUAAAGCUAAACUUGGCGACAGAGUCCACGAAUUUAUUCCUCUCCUCCCAUAUUUUGAUGCUUCAAUUAAUUCGAAAAAAACAAAAUUUAUGCCUUCUGUUACGAGGCCACGCUUGACAUUAAAAACUCUCUCGAAACGAAUAAAUUCAACAAAGAUAUGCCACCAAUGUUAUAGGUUUGACCACACGCUGAGUUUUCAAUUCAUUACCGUCUUCUUCCUAGCUUGCUGGAGCAAUGUUACUCAACUCUUUUGUCCUCCCAUUUUCAUCAUUACCGGUGUGGGGGAGCGGCUGCAAGCAUGAGACAGCCUACGAAGUACAAUCCUCACAGCAUAUCGUACACCUGUACUAGUACCUCCAAAUUCAAGUUGGUGUAGCUUUCAAUUCUCUUGUUGGAGCCUCUGCUGCCCCGGGAAAAAUGUGCCGUACCUUAUAAUGAUCAGUUCCCAAAAGAAGGGGCGUUCCAAUCACUGCUACAUUGCCUCGCCACCACCGCCUGCUGAUGAUGGAGAAUGCAUCAAGAAAUGCACCAACAACAAUAGUCCUCCCUCGAAAAAACACCCAGUUUACAGUUUUACUACCUAAACUGCCUACGUAUCUAUGAGAAAAUUGGAGCCCUGUAACUGACAGUCCUGACAUCCCUAAAAACUACAUGCCCAUAAAGUAAAGAGCCCGAACCUCCCAAAAGCAAAAUGUCUACUGCUCAGUACUCACAAGGGGCAGGCAACCAAAAGAAUAAAAUAAAUGAAAAGAAGAAGAAGAAGAAAAAAAAGAAAGAAAAGGAUAUCAUUCCCUCCCCCGCAACCCCACCCACCAUAAAGGGCUGCUAUAAACUAAAAAUAAAAUUGAAAAGUCUGUUAAAAUAAAAGACAAAGCCACCUUAACCCUUCUAUUAAUACCAGGCAAAGCAGGCGGAUGAGGCGAGACACAUAGUAGAGAGCAGAGAGGGGAGUGUUCUUCAUGAGAGGAUCUCCAGGGAUAAUUUGUCUUCUUCACACUUCAUAGUUGGCUUGGUUAAAACCCAAAAGUACAAAAAAAAAAAAAAAAAAAAACAAGAAGAAGUAACAGCUGCACAACUCUUUUAAGUCCUAUUACUACUACUGAGUAACCAUAUCUGUAUAUUUUCUUUCUCUUCCAUCAUCAUAUCAUCUUCCAAGCUAGAGUACUACAAAACUCCAACGAUGUGCAAUCCAAACACUACCCCCAAACUCACCACCAUCUCCGUGAUUGAUCAUCAAAAGAUUACCUCCUCCUCCACCUCCACAAGAUCACCACGGCCACCAUCUCAAACCCACUUUUAUUUCGAUCUGUUAUCCCUCCCCACGCCCUUAAAAGUCCAAGAAAACCCCAAAGAAAACCAUCAAAAUCCACCCAAAUUUGCCCUACCUUCAUCCUCGGAGAUCGUCCAAGAAACCAAAGCCCUCUUCAAGCUAUCCUUCCCCAUAGCAAUCGCAGCCCUCAUCCUCUAUGCCCGCUCCAUUCUCUCCAUGCUCUUUUUAGGCCAACUCGGCGACAUCCAGCUUGCCGCUGGCUCUCUAGCUAUGGCCUUCGCCAACAUAACCGGUUAUUCCGUUCUUUCCGGUUUAGCACUAGGAAUGGAGCCGCUUUGUUCUCAGGCUUUCGGAGCACAGCUUCCCAGGCUUCUUUCCCUAACGCUGCAAAGGUCCGUUAUAUUUCUUCUGGCUUGCUCCAUCCCAAUCACAUUUCUUUGGAUCAACAUUUCCCAUAUUCUUCUUUAUUUGCACCAAGACCCCAUUAUCACCCGAUUGGCCCGCACCUACCUUGUUUUUUCACUCCCUGAUCUUGUCACAAAUUCUUUUAUUCACCCCAUACGUAUUUACCUUCGGGCUCAAGGUAUUACUUAUCCGCUCACCUUCGCUUCGCUGGCUGGCACGGCUUUGCACUUGCCCAUCAACUAUGUUUUGGUCAUCCGGCUCCGGCUCGGCGUGGCAGGCGUUGCUGCUGCGGCUGCCAUCUCCAACCUGGUGGUCCUGGCGACGCUCGUCCUGUACUUGUGGGCUACCGGCUUGCACGCCGCAACAUGGACGAAGGUGAGCGGAGAGUGCUUGACCGGCUGGGGUCCGCUCAUGCGGCUAGCCGGGCCGAGCUGCGUCUCGGUUUGUCUGGAAUGGUGGUGGUACGAGAUCAUGAUAGUGCUGUGUGGCCUCUUGGUGGACCCUAAGGCCACUGUUGCAUCCAUGGGCGUCUUGAUCCAAACGACGUCGCUGCUGUACAUAUUCCCGUCCUCGCUCAGCUUCGCGGUGUCCACGCGGGUCGGUAAUGAGCUCGGAGCAAACCGGCCCGAAAGGGCUCGGGUCUCAUCCGUGGUGUCGAUCUUCAUAGCGGUCCUGAUGGGCUUAUCAGCUAUGGGCUUCGCAACAUCCUUGAGGGACUUGUGGGCUCGGAUGUUCAUUGAUGAUGGCAACAUCCUACGGCUGACAUCAGCGGCGCUGCCGAUUCUGGGACUGUGUGAGCUAGGGAACUGCCCACAGACCGUUGGAUGUGGGGUUGUACGUGGGACCGCCCGCCCGUCCACAGCAGCUAACGUGAACCUUGGGGCAUUCUAUCUUGUGGGUAUGCCCGUGGCGAUUGGGCUAGUUUUUGGGCUUGGGGUUGGGUUCUGUGGGCUUUGGCUGGGGCUUCUGUCGGCCCAGGUUUGUUGCGCGGGGCUGAUGUUGUAUGUGGUAGCCAUCACGGACUGGAAGUUCGAAGCCAACAGAGCACAAUUUCUCACGUGCGAAGGAGGUUGCGGUGGUGAAAGCAAGACUCCUCCUCCUCCAUUGCCUGGUGAAUGCCACAACGAAAUAGAGCCGUUGAUUUGUGUGACGGUGACGUCGCCGUGAUGAGAAUUUGACAAAAUUAAGUAGACCCCAGUGAUGAAAUCUUUGGUUUAUAAUUUCUAGAAUUUUUUUUUUGGUGGGGUGCUCAGCUUAGCGCAUCAGUCGGAUUAGGUGAUCUUGAUUUGUGAAGACACUUAUCUUUUUUUUUUGAUUCCAAAAACUCGGGGGUGGUGGGGUUUUAAGCCCUUCAAAGGAUUCAGCGAGGGUUUUGCCUUGUAUCUUUUUCCGGUAUUAAUUUCGGGUCCCUCCGCCUAAUUUUUUGGUUUUUUUUGGCAAGGAUGCUGGUGGCACUGUUUUCGUCUGCGAUGUGAAUAUCGUUUGAGCUUUGUUUCACCUUUUCUGGUGAUAAAUGACAAUUAAUGGACUAGGAGACAUGAUUCUUAUUUUUGUUUGUCACAUAGUGUGCAUGGAGGUGGAAGGUUGUACGUAUGUUGACGUUCAUGUUAUGGAAGUUGUAUUAGGGGUAUCCUUUAGGUAUUAUUAUUCAUCUUUGUUCUCUUGUUGUGCAUUAAUUCGAUCUCUUCUUCACUAAUAGGACUUCUAAAAAAAACUUUUAAUUUAUUUCUUGUUCUUUAAAUUAUUGAAUGCAAAAUCAAUUGUACACUGACUGUCACCACUCAAACAUUGCCAUCCAAUUUAGUCCGUAAAAAUGACAUGGAAAUGCUACUCUUUAAUUCCAUGGGGAAGACAUGGCCCAAACAGCCUAUACCUCCGCAGGUUCAGCCAGCGUUGGACCCUAGCUGAAGAGUGUCCUCUUGACCUUCAAGACUACAGAUGCAUGUCUCUUGAUAUCGGUCUCUAGUAUCAUCACUAAGGUGUAUUGUCAUGUUAUUGUGCAUAUCAGAUUGAGAAGGAUGGCACAUUGCAGCAUUGUUGUCACAUGUAUGUAUAUAUGUAUAUAGCUAUAUCCAUCACGGAAAUGGGUACCAAUACUAAUUAAUGGUAGGAAAUGAGGAAGCUAGUGCUGAUGUAGUGGAAGAUGUAUUUGGUACUUCUCUUAUCAUUGAAGUAUAAGCUGCAAGUCUGCUUUAACCAAGACAAACUCUCUCUCUCUCUCUAAAAAAAAAAAAAGGAGAAUAAGUUAAACUCCUUCCCUUCCUUUCCAUACUUCUUGUUUAUUUAAGAGUAAAGUUUUUGUUCUACUUGUGAAAUAGCAGAAUGUGUGGACAAUAGUGAAGCUUCUUGGUGUCUCAAUUCCCUCCUCAUACUCUGUGGACAGAAACGAUACAAGAGAGGAGGCAAGGGAAAAUGCAGGUAAAGGAAGAAAACAGCACAAUAUUAAUUGUUCAAGGUUGCAGAAGGGAGAGAAUAGUUUUGGGAAGUAUAUAGGCUGUUGUCUGCAUUUCCAGUGGCAUGAACCUUUAAGAGGGGGCAGCAUCACUCUUUUAAGUCUUUUCACUUAUCAGCCAUCAGGCCAUCCAUCUCUUUCAAGUAAAUAUUGUACUCCCAAAUUUAUGUUGUUGCUAUCUUCUCAGGAACACUAGUGCACAGUCAAUUAUAGGUAUCUCCCUUUCAUCAAUUUCCAUCUCUGGUUUCAACUUGACAAGUUGGUGCUCCUGAUUUCCACACAACACACCUUCUAUCCUUUUCAUGUUUGCCUAUGAAUACACUGACUGUUGGACCUACAGCUUUUUCGUGGGCCUUAGCCAUCAAAUAAUUGAUCAAAUUCCCAGACAACCUAUUCUCGACUACUACUGAUCAAAUCUUAUAUAUACAGUGACAUCUUAUAUAUACAGUGACAGUGUAUAUAUUAUUAUUAUUAUAUUCAUAAUAUAUAUAUAUAUGUAAAAAUUAAAUUAAAAUAUAUUUAUCAUUCAUCUAACGCACUGACAUUAUAUGUAUCAGUAUAAAAAAAAUUAAUCCUUCUCAAUCAAUAAUUUUAAUGGAGUAGACAUAAAUCCAAUGGAGUUGGAAACAAAUACCGUCCAAGCUUACUCAAUACAUGCUUUUACAUUGCAGUACUUACUACAAACACCCCCGACCCCAAACCUUCGUCUUCUCCUUGUCCUCCUCUGACCUAUACUACACUGUUAUCUACUUACUAAAUUGCAGUUACUUUUCUUUUUCUUUUUUUCUUUUUGGGUUCUUGCAGUAGACAUGCAAGCCGCCUUUUCGGCAACGUAGAGGACCUGUUUGCCCACUCGACGAGGACUUCCCCUAAAAGUAAAACCAAGCCACAUACGUCAGAGUAUAAGGAACCUUCCCCAUAUGAAACGAUCUUAAUAUAAGGAACUCUGCAUUUUGAUAUAUAUGAAACCAUCUUAAGAGCUCUCCUGGUAAAACAUUCCCCUCGCCGUAGGAUAAGCACAUACUUAGUUUCCUUUCUCAUACAUGUAGAUCCAAGUGUCUGGGAUAAUCUAAUUAAAUGAGAUAAUAACUAACAAAGGACAGUGCCUACUGAUUCUCUUUAAAAAUGUGGUAUCACUGACUUCAGAAGCCGUUCAUAUUUUCCUGAUUCUGCAUUCAACAAUAUCAAUAUUUACUAUUUAGCUAUUUUACAAGUUUCACUAAUUAUUUCUCAUUUGCUCCUUCGAUUUCGAAUUCCUAUCCUACUUAUCAACAGAUUUAUAUAUAAUCCGUGAAAGACUCUAAUGAAGACACUUUUAUCCUGCAUUCCGGAUCCUAUUCGUGUUCUGAAGAUUUUCAAAGAAAUAACUAAUUUGAAACAUAGCUUCAGCAUGAGUAUCAUUGAGAAUUUGAAAUUACGGGUCCUCAGCAAUUCCUAACUUGAGGCUAGCUGCAAUCCUUUCACUCAUCAUUCGCUUAUCAAGGACAUGAAAUUACUUGUAGAAGGUUCGGUUUGAGGUUAUGCAUAAAUUUAAAGUUCUUGAAAUCUAUCCUCUUUCUACCCUAACCACUUCAGUCCAUACGCACCAUUUAUUGAAACUUCCACUCUUCUAACCAAGUUAAUAAUAAUCUAAUUAAUAAUCAUGUAGUUCCCCCCCCCCCCCCCCCCCCCCCCCCCAAACCCCAACAAAAAAAAAAGAAUUUUGAGAAAAAUUAUUUUGUAAGCCAAGAAAGUUUGAAAACUUUGCAAGUUGCUCUCUGUCCCCGCAACCCCACCCCCCCCCCCCACAAAAUUGAAAUUCUUUUUUCUAUUUACAUUCUCCACCUGCUAAACAAUGAAGAGACUCAUAAUUGUUACGCCUAAGAAGGGUCUUGAUUUAAGGUUUAAUAUGGAUGUUAGUACAAGAAUAAAAUCUUUUAACGUUUUUAAGGUCUUUACUGCCACAUUAUUGCACAAUCAAGACUUGGAGUAUAAUAACAUAGAAAAAAAAGAUGCAUGCUUAACUUUUGUGUCCUUUGAACUCUACUGAUACUACUAUUUAUGUGGUGUCAGGGAUUUACCUGAUCUUAGGAUCCUGGCACCACUGAAAAUGUAUGUACUAUAACUCUAAUGAAUUCAUGCACGAGCCUGUUGGUCAUCAGCAGGAAACCUUCCAGAAGUUGCUUAUCAAAAUUAGCAGAACACAUGGAACUCUGACUACAAGAACUUCGCGGAAGAUCCCGAAGUACAAUAAAUUCUGAUUUUUGUCAGUAGUAGGACUGGCAUUUGACAGAUAAGUUAUAGUACUCAUUCACUUUAGUUUGCCAGGCCUAGCAGCAGCUAGCUGUUACAAAUCCUACACAUACAUACAACAAUGCAUCAUAAUGGAGAGAGCCUUGGGAAUAGAUCUAGGCUCAUAGUCCCCAGUCCCCACUCCACCCCCAUUGGUUCGUUUCCAAGGAGAUGACUGAUGAGGAGGUCAUGGCGGCCAUCCUCUUCCAAAUAAACUAGAAAGAAUAAGAAGAAGAUGAUGAAAAAGAAAACUAUAGCGACGUCAUCCUAGGCCAUCAUGCUUUUCACAUGGUCGCCCUAAUAUCAUACUAGGUAGCAAAUUUUGCAUUAAUCCCAGUUCUCUGUUUCCCUUUCUUGUCCCCUUACCUAAAUAUUCUUCUCCUCUUUUCAUGACUAGUGAGUGGUUUCUCCAUAUCAUUCGUUUCCAUCUCUGAUCUCCCGCUACCUACCAAGUUCCAACACCACCACCAUCAUCCAAACCCACUCCAUCAUGCCUGUCUAUACAACAAAAGAGCAGCAGCAGCAGCAGUACCUAGCUAGAAUUUUCAAUAUCUGUUAUGUCAUCGAUCAAACAUUGGAAGUACUUAGUUUGUCUAUAUCUAUUCAAAAGCUUACGAGAGUAGUAUAACGAUAUAGCCCCUUGCUUUUGUCCACCUUAUGAGCAACAUUUUAGGCAAUGGUGCUAUAGACCUGCAUGAGCAGUGUUUUGAUGAGUUCCCAUGAUUUGCUCAACUUAGCAUUUCUUUAUUUCACCAAUUGAAUUAGCAUGACAUGUCUCCGCUGGAGGAGCUGACCUUUCUUACACAUGACUCUGUAUGGUACCAUAGCAUGUUAUAUAGGCUUCAUUCAUUUGGCUCUAAUCUCCCCUUCUAUAUUACUACUUGUAUAUUUUCCCUCUGGGCUCGACAUAUGGGGACCCACCAGGAAUGUGUGAUGAUGAAUGAUGCCACAAGCAUAUUGUACGUUUGAAAGAAUAAAAAUAUAAGAAUAUUGCAUGCAGACAUGCAUGCCUUCUUGCUAGCUCUCUGUCUUCGUGUACUUUCAUAUUGGCAACUUGUACUAAAAGGAUCUACUUUUAGAUGGGGCAGUAGUUAAUGAUUAAUUAAUCCAGGGUUGUCUUAGCAUGUAUCAUGGUCACAAUGUCGUGACGACUGAGCCAGGGAUUUGAGUGUUUGGUAACAGGCAAACUCACAUGCAGGUUACAGAUCUAGGGUUACACUGCUAAAUUUUCCAAAAAAAAAAAAACAAAAGAGUUUAUGUUCGGGGAAGCAAUUCUAUUCUAACUGGUUUACCAGCGUGAUCGUGCCCAACUUGUCGUGGCUCGAUUAAUAGGAUCUUGACUUUGUAUUACGAGCGAUUACAUUCAAAUUCAAUAGUUAAUUAUGUAUUACUGUCUAAUUUGUUGAUCACACGUUUUCAUCUCGAAAUGGGAUCAGCCUUCUCCCUCUAAAUUGUUUUCUAUUUCAUCCAAAAAAUUACUACCAUAUUUGUGGAUAUCCAUGAUGCCUGGAGAAAAAGAAAAAAAAAGAAGAAAGAAAGAAAUGAAAGGGAUGAAUCAUUAAAGCUUUCAACGAGGCCAUUUGUCCAUCCCUAGGGCCAUCAGCCGCUAAUGGAUUGUGGGAAAAAGCAGUACUAUUCUGGUUUGUUGCUUCAUCAAGCCUUGGCAAAUGUUCAGCUCAAGUCUUUGAAGACUCUAUACGAUCAGCGUGCCUUAGGUUAUGUAGCGUGGACCUUUGUCUCCAGGUCCUCUGCAGGUAGUUAUUUUUCUAGUAUAGUAUGAACUAUGAAUAUCAGUUUCCAGCGUCUCCAGGUCUCCAGCGUGCCUUAGGUUAUUACGAGUAUCAGUUUGAAGAUCAAGCCACUCAUAGAGUUCCAAAUAAUUACUUUAAAAAGCACGGAUCAUCGUGGUGUUUUUUGGGUCUUAAAAGAUGGAUUCAUUAUUGAGGACAGAACAGAAAAGGGGGUGAUUAUUAUUAUUUCUUUUCUGAAACGACACCAGUACUUGGACAAUAAAAGAUAUUAAAAAUUAUAACCCCUCAUCAAUGAGAGUGAAAGACAAAUUUGUAAUGGUACAGAACCAGUUCAAGGCAAUGGUGACAGACUUUGUAGAAAUCAGUGAAUUAAUGCUUCAACAAAAAUGGAAUGGGAUUGGAAAUGAAAUGAUUUGGUAAUUCAAUUUCUUAAUAUGAGUCUGGUGAUUGAAUACAGAACAGAAAUAAUGGAUUCAGAGGUAGAAGGGGAGAGAAAAUGAAGGAAUAACCGUGAGAGGAGAAGAGGGAGAUUGGCAGAGCCAAUUCCUUCUUUACAAUUAAUUGAAAAAUGACAAAAACUUACCUAUCACUGAGAUUUCCUCAGAUUUUAUGGUUUUUUCCCUGCUAACUAACUUCUAAACUAGCCAAUGAGUUGAGGACACGUGGAUUCUAGAAUAAUCUGCCCCACUGGUUCAUAACAGAAGCAUAAUUCUGUUUUGAGCCAGUGAAAGUGUGUUUCCUAAAUAACGCCUUCUCUUUCCUUGGAGUUGAACAAUCACGCCUUCUUCGUGCCAUAGACCACGCCCUCACCUUUCUUCAAGCUAGACUGGGAAGAUCUUCCUGCAAAUCCUCUGCACUCCAUGACAGUACCCCCUCCUUUAAAAAAAAAAGAUCUUGCCCUCAAGAUUGAAAUUGAGGGAACUAUUUCUCAAUUUCUUCAGCAAAUUCCCAUGUUGCCUCUGCUGGAUCUGUUCCCACCAAUGGAUCAGCCAUUGCACUGCAACAGCACUCUCUUUCUUGACUAUUCUUCUGUCCAGUACUGCUACGGGUUCAACCCUUAAGUGUCCCUUCCCAUCAACCUCUGGUAACUGCAGAAUAGGUGUAGUCUGCUCUCCAAUCUUUUUCUUCAAUAGUGAGACAUGGAAAACAGGAUGUAUUUUGGAUCCUGUUGGCAGUUUCAACUUGUAUGCAACUUCCCCAACCUUCUCCAUCACCUCAAAGGGUCCAUGGUAACGUGCUGACAGCUUGGUGUUACUUCUCACAGCUACAGAACUUUGCCUGUAAGGCUGCAGUCUCAAGUACACACAAUUUCCAACUUCAAACCUUCUUUCGCUCCUCCUUUCAUCCGCAUAUCUUUUCAUCCUCUCCUGAGCCUGUAUUAAGUUCUGUUUCAGUGGAAUGUCAACCUUAUGUCUUUCCCUCAAAUAGUCUCUAACUACAGCCACCUUAGCCUGAGUGUAAGGCACCAAUGCUAUCUGUGGGGGUGCCGCUUGUCCAUAUAAAGCUUUAAAGGAUGUCAUUUGAAUAGCUGUGUGGUAACUGGUGUUAUACCACCAUUUGGCCAUGGUCAACCAGUGAUUCUACUUCUUUGGUUCCAAAUGUGAGAAACUUCUGAGAUACAUUUUCAGUACCUGAUUCACUAUUUCUGUUUGGCCAUCAGACUGCGAGUGGUAAGCUAUGCUGAGAUCCAGUGUAGCUCCCAGUAAUGUAAACAUCUCACUCCAAAAUUGACUGGUGAAGAUCCUAUCCCUGUCUGAUAGCAUGCUUUGGGGUAUUCCAUAUAACUUGACUACUCCAUCCAAGAAUAUUCUAGCAAUUUUUGGGGCAUCAAAAGGGUGUGAUAUACUCAGAAAAUGAGCAUACUUGGUAUACCUAUCUACUACUACCAUAAUGGUAUCCCUUCUCUCUGAGUUACGCAACCCCUCAAUGAAAUCCAUAGUGACAUGGCUCCAGGGAAACUGUGGAACUGGUAGAGGCUGCAAUUGUCCUGGAUAUGACACAUGCUCAUCCUUGCAUUUCCUGCAGACAUCACACUCCAAAAUAGCUAUCUUAAUGUCCUUGUACAUGCCUAGCCAGUAGAACAGCUGCUUGGCCCUCAUGAAGCUAGCUUGUAUGCCAGAAUGCCCCCUAUCUGUGAGUCAUGUGGAGUGCUAAUCAGUUUCCUCCUUAUCUCUUCCCCAACCUCCACAACUACCCUCCCUUUGAACUUCAGAACACCAUUUUGGUAAUUGAGGUUGGGAAAUUGAUAUGGUUUCAGUAAUACUUCUUUGAUGCUGUUUUGUGCCCAGUCAUCUCCUUGGUAGCUGCUAAUCACUUCUUUGAUCCACUCUGGUACUAUGGUAGUUGUUGCAGUACACUCCAAACCUUGAUCACCUCUCCUAGACAAGGCAUUUGCUACCACAUUCUCUUUACCCUUCCUAUAGUGAAUCUCAUAACUCAACCCCAUGAGUUUAGUUAACCAUUUCUGCUGUAGAGGGAUGGUGAUUCUUUGUUCCAAUAGGUACUUCAAACUCUGAUGAUCAGUGUUAAUGAUGAAGUGUUGACCCUUCAGGUAGUGUCUUCACUUGGUGACUGCUGUGACAAGAGCCAGUAGCUCCUUCUCGUAGAUGGAUAAUUCCAUAUUCUUUGGCCCCAACCCUUGACUGAUGUAAGCUAUUGGUCUCCUUUUCUGCAUGAGGACUGCCCCUAUUCCAUUAUAGUAGGCAUCAGUCUCAAUCACAAAAGAUUGGUUGAAAUCAGGUAAGGCCAGAACAGGGGUGUCACUCAUGGCCCCUUUGAGCCUCUGAAAGGCUUCCUCAGCUUCUCCUCCCCACUGGAAGCUGUCCUUCUUUAACAGUGCAGUCAAAGGUUUGGAUAUACUGCCAUACACUCUGACAAAUCUUCUAUAAUAUCCAGUCAGGCCUAGGAAUCCUCUCAGCUGUUUUACAUUCUCUGACCUAUGCCAUUUUACCAUACCCUCAAUCUUCCCAGGGUCAGCUUUCACCCCCUCUUCUGAGAUGAUGUGCCCCAAGUAUUCUACUGUGCCUGAGCAAAAACACAUUUGCUUCUCUUGGCAUACAGCAGGUACCCCUUAAGGAUGUCCAGAACCUCUGCCAUAUGCUUCAGAUGCUCCUGUAAACUUGAGCUAUAUACUAGGAUGUCGUCAAAGAAUAUCAGUACUGUCUUCCUUAGCUGCUUUUGGAACACAUGGUUCAUUAAGCCCUGGAAGGUAGCAGGGGCAUUGGUCAGCCCAAAUGGCAUCACCUUGAACUCAUAAAGCCCCUGAUGGGUUCUGAAUGCAGUCUUGGGUAUAUCCUCAGUCAUGACUCUGAUUUGGAAGUACCCUGCUCUCAGGUCUAUCUUGGUGAAGUACUUGGAAGCAUUCAACUCAUCUAAAAGCUCAUCAAUAAGGGGUAUUGGGUAUUUGCUCUUAACUAUCAACUCAUUCAAUUGUCUAUAGUCUACACAGAACCUUCAGGUACUAUUCUUUUUUUAAACAAGCAAGACAAGAGAUGCAAAAGGGCUAUUACUAAGCUGAAUGAUGCCAUUUCCCAACAUUUCCUGCACCAGUUUCUCAAUUUCAAUUUUUUGGACAUAGGGACAUCUGUAAGGCCUGAUCUGGAAAGGCUUGGAUCCCUCUUUAAGGGUAAUAGAAUGGUCAUGACUCCUCUCAGGGGGUAGUCCUUGGGGUUCCCUGAAUAUAUCCUCAAACUCUUGCAGCAUCCCUUCCAUUUCUGGGGAUAUGGCCUCAGCUUCUGGUACCUCCUCAGUUACUGCUCUUAGUUGAGCCAAGAUCCCAUAAGUUUGUUUCCUAGCCCACAUGUGCAGUCUACUCCAUUUUAUCAGCCUUAAUUGCACCUGGUGACCUUCUCCCUUCAACUUCACUUGUUGUUUCCCUUUUUUGAACCUCACACUCUGCCCCUUGAAGUCAAAUUCCAUGGGACUGAACCUGGCAAGCCAGUCUACUCCUAAUACCAUAUCACAUCCUCCCAACUUCAAGGUAUUGAACUGGUGUUGAAACUCGUAUCCCUGCAUUUUCCAUACCACUGGCUUAACUAGACUCCUGGACUAUAUCCUCUCUCCAUUAGCUACUUUGACUACUAGGGAAGGUCCACUGCUGAUUAGUCCCAGGCUCCUGGCCAGUUGUUCAUCCAAGAAGCAAUGGGUACUUCCAUUGUUGAUCAAUGCAGUAACAGCCCUUCCUUUUAAUAUUCCCCCAGUCUAAUAGUUAUAUACUCACCACUCCCAGCUAGUGUAUGUACAGAAACUUCUAUGUGUUCAUCCUCCAAUUUACCCUCAAUGCAGUCACAGAACACAUCAGAUUCAGCCUCUUUUUCCCUCUCAAUAGAUGCAGAGUCCUCACUUUUAUCAUUGACUAGCAGAAGGUAAAUGUGAGACUGCUUACAUACAUGGCCAAAAGUGUAGGAUUCAACACACUUAUAGCACAAUUCCUUCUUUCUUCUGAGGUUGAACUCACUAAGAAUGAUCCUCUUGAAUUGGUUCUGGUUGCUGUUUGGAUAUUUAUGGUUUUUGGUGGGAUGUUUGUCUAAGGUUCUGGGAGUAGCAGAGCUUCCCUGGUUAUGGCUUUGGGUGUGGAAUGGGGUUUUGUGUGUAUGAGUGGUGUUGGGGAGGCCCUUGUGUAUUUUCUGCAUGGCUUUUAAGUUCUUUUCCUGUAACUUAGCUGCUUCUAUUGCAUUAGCCAGAGUUAGGGGCUUGGCCAUUUUGACCAUAUUAACUAUCUCCUCCUUCGAGCCACUUAAGAAGCAUGCAUUGUAAUAAGAAUCAGGCAAAUGAGGGAGGGAAGGCAUUACCAGUGCUUUGAGUUGCUCAGACUUUUCCAAGUAGUCUGCUACAGACCCUUCCUGCCUUAGUUUGUUGAAUUCUUCAAUGGCUUCAUCUGGAGUGCCUUCACCAAAUCUUUCACACAAUGCAGUGGCAAGUUCAGUCCAUGGGAUGACUUCCCUGCCACUGAAUGCUCCAUGGAACCAGGUAUCAGCCCUGUCUCUCAGGUACAGCUCAGCAAUCUCAGUUUUCAUGUUUUCCACCACUCCAUUGAUCUUGAAAUACUUGUUAGCCUUACGAAUCCAUUCCCUUUGAUUAUCUCCCGUGAAGUUAGGCAGCUCCAUUUUAGGCACUCUAGUAUAAGAUCUGCUCUCCUUCCAAUCUAAUCUGCCAUGACAUUCCCCUUGUGUCUCUCCUUUCCUGGGACCUACUAUUGAACUGCUACUUUCUGCCUCCUUGUCUUUGCCAUUCAACUUAGCCAUCAUCUGGGCCAUCAUAGAUAUCAUACUCUCAUACUUUUGAUCCAGAUUCUUAAGGGUCCUUUCUGUACCUUCUUGCCUGUGUUCUAGUAUCUUGACCACACUGCCUAGGUCAGACAGAUCCUUCUUCAACACUUCGUCUUGUGACUUAGUCAUCCCAAUGGCUCGUAACUGAGCUCGGAUACCACUGUAAUGGUACAAAACCAGUUCAAGGCAAUGGUGAUAGACUUUGCAGAAAUCAGUGAAUUAAUGUUUCAACAAAAAUGGAAUAGGAUUGGAAAUGAAAUGAUUUGGUAAUUCAAUUUCUUAAUAUGAGUCUGGUGUUUGAAUACAGAACAGAAAUAAUGGAUUCAGAGGUAGAAGGGGAGAGAAAAUGAAGGAAUAAACGUGAGAGGAGAAGAGGGAGAUUGGCAGAGCCAAUUCCUUCUUUACAAUUAAUUGGAAAAUGACAAAAACUUACCUAUCACUGAGAUUUCCUCAGUUUUUAUGGUUUUUUCCCGGCUAACUAACUUCUAAACUAGCCAAUGAGCUGAGGACACGUGGAUUCUGGAAUAAUCCGCCCCACUGGUACAUAACAGAAGCAUAAUUCUAUUUUGAGCCAAUGAAAACGUGUUUCCUAAAUCACGCCUUCUCUUUCCUUGGAGUUGAUCAAUCACGCCUUCUUCCUGCCAUAGACCACGCUCUCAUCUUUCUUCAAACUAGACUAGGAAGAUCUUCCUGCAAAAUUCGGUGAGAUUAAAGAUGCCUAAAUUGAGUCCUCCAUAUUCUACUUAUAGUUAAAAAAAUUCAGCCAGUUAUGUCUCAACUAUCUUACUUUUGUACUUUCCAAUUUCCAUCCUGGCAUAAUUGUCCCUUAGAACCUGUUUAGUAUAUGUUUAAUUAUCUUUUUUUUUAUCUCACGUAUAUGACAUCUAAUAUAUCUUUCUAAAAAUAUCAAUAUUAGAGACGUGAAUGUUUAUAAUAUGAAUUAAUCUCUCAAUUUAAUUUUAAACUUGCCUCUAAAUUUCACAUAGCCACCCGCCAAAAAAGUGAACACUCUCGAUUUUGUUAACAUCUUAGACGCUAAGAAAAUUAUAGUAUCUAUGAUGCAACUAUCGUUAUUUUCUAAGAAAACAGGACCAUUUGGGCGCAGUUGGCAAAUUUCAAGUUUUAACCAUAACUGGAGGGAUGAAAUAUUUGAAUGCUAAAUAUGAAUCAGAAUAGUCCAAGGAACUAAAAUGAAUUAAAAUUGCAAGUUAGAAUUCCACAUCCAUGUGAUCGAUGGGACGAUCCAUUUGUGUUUUUGCAGGGAUGUGGCUGACGACCAAGUUCUCUACGUAACGGGGCCCAUUUCAGGAGGUCAGGAUGAAUUUCGGCAGGCCUAUUUCAGUAGCUUCUUCCCCAAUUAUCCAAGAAGCCUGCCUAAGGGAAUCUUUAAAUGGGGCGUGCCUCGUGAACGAUCAAAGCAGCACCAAUGCAGCAGUAAAGUCGGCCUUUUCAGUUUAGCCACACUCGGGGUCCUUAGGACUAGAGAGAAGCCCAAAGGUACAAGAAGCCGAACGGCACCAAACAACACCAUAAUGUAUUUAUUACUUGCCUCCCUAUAUCUCCUUCGGAAAAAAAAAAAAAAAAUUUUGCAUGCCAAGAUCUUGUUAAUUCAUGAUAAAAACUUAACUCUAUCUGGGGGGGGGGGGGGGGGGGGGGAAGAGCAAACGUCGUAAACAGUCACCAAGCUAUUUUUAAUUCUAUAUUUUAGCCACCAAACUUUUUAUUUAGCCAAAAUGGUCACCAAACUAAUGAGUACAUAAGUACAUUUUGGAUUAGUAAACUAACAGAAGUGCAUUUUUUUCGUCACUCAAGUAAAGCAAAUGCGUGCUUAUCGGUCGCAAAAUGCAUGCUUUAAAUAGUUAAAUAAACUACUUUGGCUAAGUAAAAAAAAAAGUUUAAUGACCAAAAUAAAGAAUGUUGAAUAAUCACUUUUAUCAUUUGGCCUUGAGAACCAAACUUGAAACUACCACCAACUCCUAGUCCAAAGUGCUUUGUUUUGAAUGCGUGAUUACUGAUUAAUCAGGCCAAAUAUCAAAAACUAAACACACUCAUUCAGGUUAAAGAUAGAAACCGGAAUUCAUGUGAUGUGAGUGCAGGCAAGUGGUCACCCACCCACCAUAAUGCCAUAUUCAUAUUUUGGAUUCGACUUGGGUAGCAAAAGUCCGGGCAAAUAGGCAAGUAACAGUCGAGAGGACGAUAUUUUUUUCAGAGCUGUUGGCAUCAUCUGAUUCUUGAACAGCGACAGGAGCCUCCGAAAGCACUGCUCUUGUGGUACCGUCAAAAUACUACUGCUCCGAAAGCACUGCAUCUACCCAAAGAUAAACGAGAGACAAAAGUUACAACAGUCAUGGGUCAUUAUCUCAGACGACUGAGAGAAGAGAAUUAAAACACAAGUUAUCUAAUGGAUACGAACAAAUGAUGACACAAAGCGAAUUUCAAUACCUCAUCCUCCUCGUUAAUAAUUGGCACAGGACAGGAGCCAGCAAAUUAUUAUUAUUAUUGUCAUCUACCCGUAGGCUUUGAAGCCUUCAGUGCAUCGUACGUACUCAAGCUCAGUGUAUACUGUGCUAGUACCAUUUCUGCGCUAGAGGGGAAAGCGAUCUCGAUGUACUACUGUCCAUCAUCCGUGCUCCUUGCACUGAACGCCGAGGGAUGCUAAUGCUAGAAAACUUGACUGCUGCUGUUUGCUUUUUCUUCUUCAAGAAAAUAAAUGAUAAUGGCGUGAUUUUUGCAAGCACUAAAAAUGACAAAGAAUAUCUUUUUGCAAACUGUUAUGCUACUACUACAUCUAUGGCGUAUAGAUAGAACGGUUGGAAAGAAAAAAGAGAGUAGUGUUAGGUGCAAAGUUCUUGACUUUUCAGCACUUCACCAAUUAAUCAUACAAUUAUAUUAUAUUACGGAGUGCACAGGAGAAUUCGAAUUUCGAAAUCUGGUAGUGGGUAAUCUGCUUCCUUCCCCCCCCCCGGGGUUUUCCCCAUAAAAUUCCCUUGCACUAUUUAAGUCUCUGUUCAUAUAUAUGACAACUCGAGAACGAAGCGGUGAAAUUGCAGAAUUUUGCCAAAGUGAAGUGAGUGGAACAAGUUGACGACUGAAGAAGAUUACCACCGAGGAAAAGAGAGACGAAGAGGAGAGAAUAUGGUUGGCUGAAGCAGGGAUUUUGCAAAGAAGGAAAGUUUGGAUUCCUAAGAGAUUUGCAUAUGUGCGUAAGCGGUCACGAGAUUGUCAGAGAUGCCUGCUCUGCUGUUCUGUGCUGUGCUGAGGAAGGAGAUGGACUCUGGGUGUGGUCUGCUUCUGGUUGUGGAGGGACUUUGGACGCGCUCUAAUGAAUAGUAACACCUUCCAUUCCAAUCCAAGCCUCAGGUUUCAGGUAUCAAUUCUAUUCUAUUCUAUCUUACGUACGUUGUUCGGUUGUUGCAUCGCAUCUCUCUCCCUCUCUCUCUUUCUUUCUUUCUUCAAUUCCUUCUUUAAGGACACGUCGCUCCACAAAGUAAUCUUUUGCUUUUCUCUUUUUCCAUUUUUACAUCUUUUCAGAAAAGAGCCCCAGCCAGUUGGACGAAUCUAAAUUCGAUCGAGACCCCUUCCUCCCUCCGCCCUUUUAUUUAUUUAUUUAUUUAUUUAAUAUAUACAUAUAUAUAUACAUAUAUAUCUUUGUUAGUUACUACUUUUGUAUACACUACUGGCUAUAUACACAUUACUUGUAUGCUUUUUAUACUAAAACUUUAUCGUCAUUCGAAUAUCUUAUUUUUUAAGUGACUAGAUCAAUAAUGAUUUUAAAGUUAAGGAUUGGUCUUGUCUUUUGGGUUUGCGUGUCUACAUACAUACAUACAUACAUACAUACGCAAUCCUCAGCCGCACCUUCUUGUCUGCUAUGCUUCUUCUACGUAGUUUUCUGGGGGAUCCUGUGUGGAUAUUUUCCCAUUUCUAGUAAUUGGUCAAUGUAUCUAUAUUCUACUAAUAACUAAUUAAUGAUGCUUGUCCAUUACAACAAUAAUAUUAUUUAAUUCUUAAGCACAGGCUACAACAAACUCUACCAUCUUUACUUUAUUUCCCAAGCUUGAUUAGUAUGGUGAAAAGCAAGGGAAGAGCUCAGCUUUCGUUAAUUUGGACUACAUUAGCCUGUAAUGAAACUAUGAACAAAUUAAUCUUAGGUUCCACUUUAAUUUUUUGCUUGAAAAUAUUUGUUACUAAUUCAACCGAUGGUUCAAUCAGUGAUAUAUAUUUAUAUUUUUUGUUUGGUUUCACCGAUUGAACUGUCGAUUCGUUGACUAUUUAAUGAAUUUCUUGUUAGAACUAUCUUCUAAAAAUUAAUUAGUGACUCAAUCCGAUUCUAUAAUGGUUGAUCGGUUUAACCGUGGAAUGGGACCAGUUUUAAAAUUGUGGUUAUGAGGAAGAAGAUGCUUCCUAGGGAUGACAACGGGGUGGGGGACCCCUCCCCCAUCCCCCGCCCCGCUGCCUACAAACUCCCCCCGCCCUGUCCCCGCCCCCGCCCUGCUUCCCCCGCGGGACUAAUAAAAAUUUGUUAUAUAAUUUUAUUAUGGUUAAAUUUUAGCAAAUAAUUAAGUACUAAAAUAUUAACACAUCAUCAAAUUAUUAUUCAUUAUAAUUUUACAAUUGAAACUUAUAAAAACAAUCAAACAAAAAAUAUUUGAAUACAAUCCAAUAUGAUGAAAUAAAUAUAACUAAAGUAGGCAAGUUUUCACUUUUGGCGCAAAAACAAUCACUAAUUCAUUAUUGUGCUUGUGCUUUUUUUAAGAAAAAAAUAUUAUUGUAUUAAGUGUAAUUAGGGAUUUAGUAUAAAUGUAUUAGUAAAUUUAGUAUAAUCAAUUAAUAAUUUGUAUUAGUAAACAUAUAUAAUUAUUAGUAUAAUUAAUAAUAUCAAUUAUAUUAUAUAUACUAAUAGACAUUAUAUAAUACAUAUAACUAAUAAUAUCACUAUUAUAAGUUUGUAACUAAUUAAAUUAUAUAUUAUAUAUAUAAUUAUAUAUAUUUUUUAUAUAUUUAUUUUUUUUAAAGCGGGUGGCGGGACGGGCCUGCGGGGCGGGUGAUUGCCGUCGCUACUCGCUAAUGCUUCCGCUGCUGCUGCUGACAAGUAAGACGUAUGACGUGGGAGUAGGCCCUACACUUCGGCUAAAAUUUCAGAGACCAAUCAGAUUAUCGGAAGUGCGAGCUGGAAGACUUGCCCCAGAUCGAAAAACCCCAAAAUCCGACCCACACCGUAGAAAAGGCAGCCCACCGUCACGUCCGCCUUACGCCCCUUACCCUUAGCUCGAAAGGAAACUUUUCCAUCUUCAGAUGCUCUGCCAGUGGACAGAAAUCAGAAAACAUACGUACAGUACAGAAGAAAAAAACACAGGCGAAUAAAAGAUCCAAAGAUGGUUAAGGCAUUGCACGUGUGCCUCUCACGUGUUUUUCUUUCCCUCUUGUGCAUACUUUUUCCCUCAGAAUUCUUUCAUUUCAAGUUUCAACCCAACGAAGGAAAGAAAUUUUUUUUAAAAAAAAAAGGAAGAAAGAAAACAGAUUGAGAGCAGAAAAGUAUAAGAUUCUACUCACAUCAUACUCAAUCAUAAUUGAUUGAAGAAGUACCUCUCCGGGAGAAUACUCGCAUUCACGUGGUUUCCUUUUCCUUGUUCAUCCAUUCAUGCAUCCCAAUUCUGAAACUUGCAAGAAUUUCAAUCGUUGAACAGUUCUCAGAACUGCGAAAGGCGCUAAUGCGUGAAAUGGUCAGAACUUGCAAGUCUUUUCUUUCUUUCUUUCUUAUUUUUUUUUCAAAAGAUAUAUAAAUUAGUCCUUUUCUUUCUUCCAAUUUUUUUUUUUUUGUCGUGAAUUUGGUUAAUUUUGACGAGUUUGACAAUACGACCAAAACUCUCAUUGUCACCGACUGAUUGGUAAUUGGUAUGGUAAGUUUGUCACUUCGGUUCGUGGUUGUCCCUGCUUCCUGUCAGCACGACAUACUCUUGCGCCAGAAGUACACAAGCAGUGUUGCUGUUUGGGAAGAGACAUCUGCCAACCCCAGAAAACUAAACAGCUCCGCAAUGGUUUGUUUGGAUAGAGUAUUAUUUGAAAUAAUUACUGUAGCAUUUUUUGUGAUGUGAUGUAUGUGAGAUAAAAAAAUAAUUGAAAAUAUAAAAAGGUGGAUUGGAAAAUGUGUUUAUGAUACAAGCGAAAUAUCAUUUGAGAUAUUUGUGCUAUCCAAACACUCUAUAAUUUGCAACUUUAUUUUUUUUUUGGGAUAAUUUAUUUUAACACUUUUUCAAUUGUGAUAUAGUAUAUGAUAUUUAAAAACUAAUAAAAAAUCUUGUUUAGCAAAUAAUAUGGAAAAAAAAUUCUUUUUGAAUAAAUUUUCAAUUACUAGUUCCUUUUUUUUUUCUUCUUUUUAAAUAAAAAAAAGCACCUUUUUUUUUUUGGAAAAAUUGAGGAUUUUGUUCCAGACUUAUACUCGCUGACUCCUAAUCUAGCCUUUUUGAAGUGAAUUUAUCAAUUCCCAAAAUUUCUGUACUGUUUCGUUUGCUAGGACUGGUGGAAGAUGUUAUCUACAUCUUAUGGAAUUUCCCACCCAACUUUAUUAAGCAAUUUCAACAAUUUAGUCGAAAAUAUGUUCUUCUUAUCAAAAAAAAAAAAAAAAGGAUUGGUGGAAGGAGAUGCUACCUACAUCAUACGUAAAACCCGUCCAUGCGAGAGUUUGGUUGGAAUCGUGAGUUCUUAAUGCAUGUGUUUUCAUGGGUACAUACAAUACAAUAAAUGACGUAGUGCCUAAAACGGAUUCCUUCGAGGAUGAUUUACCCGCAUACAGUAACUAUUAGACUCAUCAGCGCGAUGCGCAAGUGCAGUUUUCAAAGUGUUGCGUAAAAAAAUCCCGAUCACCAUAAAAAACAAGAAAUAAAAAAUUAGGCCAUAAAAAGGUAACUGUCGAGUACAUAAUUUUUUUUUUUUUAUUGUUUGUUUAGAGGGCACUACAAUUCUUAUAAUAAAGAGAAAAAAAGGAGAAGGAAGGAAUUGAGAGGUGAACCUCAUUGUUAUCUUCUUCUAAUUAAUAAAUAAAUACUCCUAUGAACAGUAACUGUUUCGUUGCCAUCGUUGCAAGAGGAGCUUUCUAAUGGCAAUGGACCGGUUGUUUUUCUAUCCGACAGCAUAUACAAGGCUAAUAUCGUCAUCUUUUUGUCAAAAUCUAUUCUUCAAAUAUAUGCUAUAUAUGCUAAUGCAAUUAAAGCUAAACUUGGCGACAGAGUCCACGAAUUUAUUCCUCUCCUCCUAUAUUUUGAUGCUUAAAUUAAUUAAAAAAAAAAAUUUAUGCCUUCUGUUACGAGGCCAGGCUUGACAUUAAAAACUCUCUCGAAACGAAUAAAUUCAACAAAGAUAUGCCACCAAUGUUAUAGGUUUGACCACACGCUGAGUUUUCAAUUCAUCACCGUCUUCUUCCUUGCUUGCUGGAGCAAUGUUACUCAACUCUUUUGUCCUCCCAUUUUCAUGAUUACCGGUGCGGGGGAGCGGGUGCAAGCAUGAAAUAGCCCACAAAGUACAAUCCUCACAGCAUAUCGUACACCUGUAUAGUACCUCCAAAUUCAAGUUGGUGUAGCUUUCAAUUCUCUUGUUGGAGCCUCUGCCGUCCCGGGAAAAUGCGCCGUACCUUAUAAUGAUCAGUUCCCAAAAGAAGGGGCGUUCCAAUCGCUGCUACAUUGCCUCGCCACCACAGCCUGCUGAUGAUGGAGAAUUCAUCAAGAAAUGCACCAACAACCAAAGUCCUCCCUCGUAAAAACACCCAGUUUACAGAGUAUUACUACCUAAACUGCGUAAGUAUCUAUGAGAAAAUUGGCGCCCUGUAACUGACAGUCCUGACAUCCCUAAAAACUACAUGCCCAUAAAGUAAAGAGCCCGAACCUCCCAAAAGCAAAAUGACUACUGCUCAGUACUCACAAGGGGCAGGCAACCAAAAGAAUAAAAUAAAUGAAAAGAAGAAGAAGAAAAAAAAAAAGAGGAUAUCAUCCCCUCCCCCACCACCCCCGCCCCCCCCAACCCCACCCACCAUAAAGGGCUGCUAUGAACUAAAAAUAAAAUUGAAAAGUCCGUUAAAAUAAAAGACAAAGCCACCUUAACCCUUCUAUUAAUACCAGGCAAAGCGGGCGGAUGAGGCGAGACACAUAGUAGAGAGUAGAGAGGGGAGUGCUCUUCAUGAGAGGAUCUCCAGGGAUAAUUUGUCUUCUUCACACUUCAUAGUUGGCUUGGUUAAAACCCAAAAGUACAAAAAAAAAAAAAAAAAAAAAAAAAACAUGAAGAAGUAACAGCUGCACAACUCUUUUAAGUCCUAUUACUACUACUGAGUAACCAUAUCUGUAUAUUUUCUUUCUCUUCCAUCAUCAUAUCAUCUUCCAAGCUAGAGUACUACAAAACUCCAACGAUGUGCAAUCCAAACACUACCCCCAAACUCACCACCAUCUCCGUGAUUGAUCAUCAAAAGAUUACCUCCUCCUCCACCUCCACAAGAUCACCACGGCCACCAUCUCAAACCCACUUUUAUUUCGAUCUGUUAUCCCUCCCCACCCCCUUAAAAGUCCAGGAAAACCCCAAAGAAAACCAACAAAAUCCACCCAAAUUUGCCCUACCUUCACCCUCGGAGAUCGUUCAAGAAACCAAAGCCCUCUUCAAGCUAUCCUUCCCCAUAGCAAUCGCAGCCCUCAUCCUCUAUGCCCGCUCCAUUCUCUCCAUGCUCUUUUUAGGCCAACUCGGCGACAUCCAGCUUGCCGCUGGCUCUCUAGCUAUGGCCUUCGCCAACAUAACCGGUUAUUCCGUUCUUUCCGGUUUAGCACUAGGAAUGGAGCCGCUCUGUUCUCAGGCUUUCGGAGCACAGCUUCCCAGGCUUCUUUCCCUAACGCUGCAAAGGUCCGUUAUAUUUCUUCUGGCUUGCUCCAUCCCAAUCACAUUUCUUUGGAUCAACAUUUCCCAUAUUCUUCUUUAUUUGCACCAAGACCCCAUUAUCACCCGAUUGGCCCGCACCUACCUUGUUUUUUCACUCCCUGAUCUUGUCACAAAUUCUUUUAUUCACCCCAUACGUAUUUACCUUCGGGCUCAAGGUAUUACUUAUCCGCUCACCUUGGCUUCUCUGGCUGGCACGGCUUUGCACUUGCCCAUCAACUAUGUUUUGGUCAUCCAGCUCCGGCUCGGCGUGGCAGGCGUUGCUGCUGCGGCUGCCAUCUCCAACCUGGUGGUCCUGGUGACGCUCGUCUUGUACUUGUGGGCUACCGGCUUGCACGCCGCAACAUGGACGAAGGUGAGCGGAGAGUGCUUGACCGGCUGGGGUCCGCUCAUGCGGCUAGCCGCGCCGAGCUGCGUCUCGGUUUGUCUGGAAUGGUGGUGGUACGAGAUCAUGAUAGUGCUGUGUGGCCUCUUGGUGGACCCUAAGGCCACUGUUGCAUCCAUGGGCGUCUUGAUUCAAACGACGUCGCUGCUGUACAUAUUCCCGUCCUCGCUCAGCUUCGCGGUGUCCACGCGGGUCGGUAAUGAGCUCGGAGCAAACCGGCCCGAAAGGGCUCGGGUCUCAUCCGUGGUGUCGAUCUUCAUAGCGGGCCUGAUGGGCUUAUCAGCUAUGGGCUUCGCAACAUCCUUGAGGGACUUGUGGGGUCGGAUGUUCAUUGAUGAUGGCAACAUCCUACGGUUGACAUCAGCGGCGCUGCCGAUUCUGGGACUGUGUGAGCUAGGCAACUGCCCACAGACCGUUGGAUGUGGGGUUGUACGUGGGACCGCCCGCCCGUCCACAGCAGCUAACGUGAACCUUGGGGCAUUCUAUCUUGUGGGUAUGCCAGUGGCAAUUGGUCUGGUGUUUGGGCUUGGGGUUGGAUUCUGUGGGCUUUGGCUGGGGCUUCUGUCGGCCCAGGUUUGUUGCGCGGGGCUGAUGUUGUAUGUUGUAGCCAUCACAGACUGGCAGUUCGAAGCCAACAGAGCGCAAUUUCUCACGUGCGAAGGAGGAUGCGGUGGUGACAGCAAGACGACUCCUCCUCCAUUGCCUGGUGAAUGCGACAACGAAAUAGAGCCGUUGAUUUGUGUGACGGUGACGUCGUCGUGAUGAGAAUUUAACAAAAUUAAGUAGACCCCAGUGAUGAAAUCUUUGGUUUACAAUUUCUAAAAUUUUUUUUUUUUUUUGGGUGGGGUGCUCAGCUCGGAGCUUAGCUCAGUCGGAUUAAGUGAUCUUGAUUUGUGAAGACACUUAUCUUUCUUUCUUUUUCUUUUUCUUUUUUUCCAAAAACUCGGGGGUGGUGGGGUUUGACCCCUUCAAAGGAUUCAGCGAGGGUUUUUCCUUGUAUCUUUUUCCGUUAUUAAUUUCGGGUCCCUCCGCCUAUUUUUUUUUUUUUUUUUUGGCAAGGAUGCUGGCACUUUUUUAGUCUGCGAUGUGAAUAUCGUUUGAGCUUUGUUUCACCUUUUCUUCUGGUGAUAAAUGACAAUUAAUGGACUAGGACAUGAUUCUUAUUUUUGUUUGUCACUUAGUAGUUAGUGUGCAUGGAGGUGGAAGGUUGUACGUAUGUUGACGCUCAUGUUAUGGAAGUUGUAUGAGGGGUAUCCUUUAGGUAUUAUUCAUCUUUGUUCUCUUGUUCUGCAUUCGAUCUCUUCUUCACUGAUAGGAGUUCUAAAAAAACUUUUAAUUUAUUUCUUGUUCUUUCAAUUAUCAAUUGUAAACUGACUGUCACCACUCAAACAUUGCCAUCCAAUUUAGUCCGUAAAAAUGGUGAUAAUGACAUGGAAAUGCUACUCCUUAAUUCCAUGGGGAAGACAUGGCCUAAACAGCCUAUACCUCCGCAGGUUCAGCCUUGGACCCUUGCUGAAGAGUGUCCUCUUGACCUUCAAGACUACAGAUGCAUGUCUCUUGAUAUCGGUCUCUAGUAUCACUAAGGUGCAUUGUCAUGUUAUUGUGCAUAUCCGAUUGAGAAGGAUGGCACAUUGCAGCAUUGUUGUCACAUGUAUAUAUAUAUAUAUAUAUAUAGCUAUAUCCAUCACGGAAAUGGGUAGCAAUACUAAUGGUAGGAAAUGAGGAAGCUAGUGCUGAUGUAGUGGAAGAUGUAUUUGGUACCUCUCUUAUCAUUGAAGUAUAAGCUGCAAGUCUGCUUUAACCAAGUCAAACUCUCUCUCUCUCUCUAAAAAAAAAAAAAAAGGAGAAUAAGUUAAACGUACUCCUUCCCUUCCUUUCCAUACUUCUUGUUUAUUUAAGAGUAAAGUUUUUGAUCUACUUGUGAAAUAGCAGAAUGUGUGGACAAUGGUGAAGCUUCUUGGUGUCUCAAUUCCCUCCUCGUACUGUGGACAGAAACGAUACGAGAGAGGAGGCAAGGAAAAAUGCAGGUAAAGGAAGAAAACAGCACAAUAUUAAUUGUUCAAGGUUGCAGAAGGGAGAGACUAGUUGCGGAAGUAUAUAGGCUGCUGUCUGCAUUUCCAGUGGCAUGAACCUUUAAGAGGGGGCAGCAUCACUCUUUUAAGUCUUUUAACUUAUCAGCCAUCAGGCCAUCCAUCUCUUUCAAGUAAAUAUUGUACUCCCAAAUUUAUGUUGUUGCUAUCUUCUCAGGAACAGUAGUGCACAGUCAAUUAUAUAUCUCCCUUUCAUCAAUUUCCAUUUCUGGUUUCAACUUGACGAGUUGGUGCUCCUGAUUUCCACACAAUACACCUUCUAUCCUUUUCAUGUUUGCCUAUGAAUAGACUGACUGUUGGACCUACUGCUUUUCCGUGGGCCUUAGCCAUCAAAUUCAUCAAAUAAUUGAUCAAAUUCCCACACAACCUAUUUUUUGACUACUGAGUAAAUCUUAUAUAGAGGGACAGUGUAUAUCUUAUUACUGUUGUAUUCAUGAUAUAUAUGUAAAAGUUAAAUUUUAAAUUCAAAAUUUACAUAUUUAUCAUUCAUCUAACGCCUAUCAAUGUAAGAAAGAUUAAUCCUUCUCGAUUUGCCAUUUUAACGGAAUAGACAUAAAUCCAUUGGAGUUGCGAACAAAUACCGUCCUAGCUCUUACUCGAUACAUAUUUUCACAUUGCAGUACUUACUACAAACACCCCCGACCCCAAACCUUCUUCUUCUCCUUCUCCUCCUCUGACCUAUACUACACUAUUAUCUACUUACUAAAUUACAGUUACUUUUCUUUUUCUUUUUGGGUUCUUGCAGCAGACAUGCAAGCCGCCUUUUCGGCAACGUAGAGGACCUGUUUGCCCACUCGACGAGGACUUCCCCUAAAAGUAAAACCAAGCCACAUACGUCAAAGUAUAAGGAACCUUCCCCAUAUGAAACGAUCUUAAUAUAAGGAACUCCUGCAUUUUGAUACAUAUGAAACCAUCUUAAGAGCUCUCCUGGUAAAACAUUCCCCUCCCCGUAGGAUAAGCACAUACUUAGUUUCCUUUCUCAUACAUGUAGAUCCAAGUGUCUGGGAUAAUCUAAUUAAAUGAGAUAAUAACUAACAAAAGACCUCUUUAAAAAUGUGGUAUCACUGACUUCAGAAGCCGUUCAUAUUUUCCUGAUUCUGCAUUCAACAAUAUUAAUAUUUACUAUUUAGCUAUUUUACAAGUUUCACUAAUUAUUUCUCAUUUGCUCCUUCGAUUUCGAAUUCCUAUCCUACUUAUCAACAGAUUUAUAUAUAAUCUGUGAAAGACUCUAAUGAGGACACUUUUAUCCUGCAUUCCGGAUCCUAUUCGUGUUCUGAAGAUUUUCAAAGGAAUAACUAAUUUGAAACAUAGCUUCAGCAUGAGUAGCAUUGAGAAUUUGAAAUUACGGGUCCUCAGCAAUUCCUAACUUGAGGCUAGCUGCAAUCCUUUCACUCAUCAUUCGCUUAUCAAGGACGUGAAAUUACUUGUAGAAGGUUCGGUUUGAGAUUAUCCAUAAAUUUAAAGUUCUUGAAAUCUAUCCUCUUUCUACCCUAACCACUUCAGUCCAUACGCACCAUUUAUUGAAACUUCCACUCUUCUAACCAAGUUAAUAAUCAUCUAGUAUUGAAGAACAGGGGCAGAGCUAAGUGUAGUUCCCCCACCCCCAACCCCAACAGAAAAAAAAAAAAUCAUUUUGAAAAAAAUCAUUUUGUAAGCCAAGAAAGUUUGAAAACUUUGCAAGUUACUCUCUGUCCCCCCCCCCCCCCCCCCAAAAAAAAUUGAAAUUCUUUUUUCUAUUUACAUUCUCCACCUGCUAAACAAUGAAGAGACCCAUAAUUGUUACGCCUAAGAAGGGUCUUGAUUUAAGGUUUAAUAUGGAUGUUAGUACAAGAAUAAAAUCUUUUAACGUUUUUAAGCUCUUUACUGCCACAUUAUUGCACAAUCAAGACUUAGAGUAUAAUAACAUAGAAAAAAAAGAUGCAUGCUUAACUUUUGUGUCCUUUGAACUCUACUGAUACUACUAUUUAUGUGGUGUCAGGGAUUUACCCUGAUCUUAGGAUCCUGGCACCACUGAAAAUGUAUGUACUAUAACUCUAAUGAAUUCAUGCACGAGCCUGUUGCUCAUCAGCAGGAAACCUUCCAGAAGUUGCUUAUCAAAAUUAGCAGAACACAUGGAACUCUGAUUACAAGAACUUCGCGGAAGAUCCCGAAGUACAAUAAAUUCUGAUUUUUGUCAUUAGUAGGACUAGCAUUUGACAGAUAAGUUAUAGUGCUCAUUCACUUUAGUUUGCCAGGCCUAGCAGCAGCAGCAGCAGCAGCUAGCUGUUACAAAUCCUACAUAUACAACAAUGCAUAAUGGAGAGAGCCUUGGGAAUAGAUCUAGGCUCAUAGUCCCCAGUCCCCACUCCACCCUCAUUGGUUCGUUUCCAAGGAGAUGACUGAUGAGGAGGUCAUGGCGGCCAUCCUCUUCCAAAUAAACUAGAAAGAAUAAGAAGAAGAUGAUGAAAAAGAAAACUAUAGCGACGUCAUCCUAGGCCAUCAUGCUUUUCACAUGGUCGCCCUAAUAUUAUACUAGGCAGCAAAUUUUGCAUUAAUCCCAGUUCUCUGUUUCCCUUUCUUGUCCCCUUACCUCAAUAUUCUUCUCCUCUUUUCAUGACUAGUGAGUGGUUUCUCCAUAUCAUUCGUUCCCAUCUCUGAUCUCCCGCUACCUUCCAAGUUCCAACACCACCACCAUCAUCCAAACCCACUCCAUCAUGCCUGUCUAUACAACAAAAGAGCAGCAGCAGUACCUAGCUAGAAUUUUCAAUAUCUGUUAUGUCAUCGAUCAAACAUUGGAAGUACUUAAUUUGUCUAUAUCUAUUCAAAAGCUUAGGAGAGUAGUAUAACGAUAUAGCCCCUUGCUUUUGUCCACCUUAUGAGCAACAUUUUAGGCAAUGGGGCUAUAGACCUGCAUGAGCAGUGUUUUGAUGAGUUCCCAUGAUUUGCUCAACUUAGUAUUUCUUUAUUUCACCAAUUGAAUUAGCAUGACAUGUCUCCGCUGGAGGAGCUGAUCUUUCUUACACAUGACUCUGUAUGGUACCAUAGCAUGUUAUACAGGCUUCAUUCAUUUGACUCUAAUCUCCCCUUCUGUAUUACUACAAUUGUAUAUUUUCCCUCUGGGCUCGACAUAUGGGGACCCACAUCAGGAAUGUGUGAUGAUGAAUGAUUGAUGCCACAAGCAUAUUGUACGUUUGAAGGAAUAAAAAUAUAAGAAUAUUGCAUGCAGGCAUGCCUUCUUGUUAGCUCUGUCUUCAUGUACUUUCAUAUUGGCAACUUGUACUAAAAAGAUCGGAAAUGGGGCAGGAACGGUUGUCAGACCCGUUCCUGCGAGUUCACGGCUGUGAUUUUGGCCCAAAAAUUUGUGCGGCUCAGAUCACAUGUGAUAACUCGAUUUUCACACCAUGUAUGGAUCCCACAAAAAAGUAUUCUAAAAUUACGCUAUGUAUAAAGAAAGUUACACCGUGUGCUAUCGAUGUUACGCGCAGUGCAAAAUGCACACAAUUGGUACAAACGGUUGCACUGCAACCGUUUGUACCCCUUGUCCAGAAAGAUCUAUUUUUAGAUGGGGCAGUAGUUAAUGAUCAAUUAAUCCAGGGUUGUCUUCGCAUGUAUCAUGGUCACAAUGUCGUGACGACUGAGCCAGGGAUUUGAGUGUUUGGUAACAGGCAAACUCACAUGCAGGUUACAGAUCUAGGGUUACACUGCUAAAUUUUCAAAAAAGUUUAUGUUCCGGGGAAGUAAUUCUAUUCUAACUGGUUUACCAGCGUGAUCGUGCCCAACUUGUCGUGGCUCGAUUAAUAAGAUCUUGACUUUGUAUUACGAGCGAUUACAUUCAAAUUCAGUAGUUAAUCAUGUAUCUAUCACUGUCUAAUUUGUUGAUCACACGUUUUCAUCUCGAAAUGGGAUGAGCCUUCUCCCUCUAAAUUGUUUUCUAUUUCAUCCAAAAAAUCACCACCAUAUUUGUGGAUAUCCAUGAUGCCUGGAGAAAAAGGAAAAAAAAAAAGAAAGGGAUGAAUCAUUAAAGCUUUCAACGAGGCCAUUUGUCCAUCCCUAGGGGCAUCAGCCGCUAAUGGAUUGUGGGAAAAAGUAGUACUAUUCUGGUUUGUUGCUUCAUCAAGCUUUGGCAAAUGUUCAUCUCAAGUCUUUGAAGACUCUAUACGAUCAGGUUAUGCAGCGUGGACCUUUGUCUCCAGGUCCUCUGCAGGUAGUUAUUUUUCUAGUAUAGUAUGAACUAUGAAUUAGUAGUAGUAGGUGUUCAUCAGCUUAAAUCUUACAGCUUUUAUGAGUAUCAGUUUGAAGAUCAAGCCACUCAUAGACUUCCAAAUAAUUACGUACGGAUCAUCGCGGUGUUUUUUGGGUCUUAAAAGGCGGAUUCAUUAUUGAGGACGGGAACAGAAAACGGGGUGAUUUCCAGUUUCUCUGCGCUAUAUGAAUCACUUUUACUGGUAUUACUCUCGAUUUUGUUAACAUCUUAGACGCUAAGAAAAUUAUAAUAUCUGUGAUGCAACUAUUGUUAUUUUCUAAGAAAACACCAUUUGGGCGCAGUUGGCAAAUUUCAAGUUUUAACCAUAACUGGAGGGAUGAAAUAUUUGAAUGCUAAAAAUGAGGGUCUAAAAUGAAUCAGAAUGGUCCAAGAUAUCUAGGAACUAAAAUGAAUUAAAAUUGCCAGUUAGAAUUCCACAUCCAUGUGAUGGAUUGGACGAUCCAUUUGUGUUUUUGCAGGGAUGUGGCUGACGACCAAGUUCUCUACGUAACGGGGCCCAUUUCAGGAGGUCAGGAUGAAUUACGGCAGACCUAUUUCAGUAGCUUCUUCCCCAAUAAUCCAAGAAGCCUGCCUAAGGGAAUCUUUAAAUGGGCCGUGCCUCGUGAACGAUCAAAGCAGCACCAUUGCAGAAGUAAAGUCGGCCUUUUAAGUUUUGCCAAACUCGGGGUCCUUAGGACUAGAGAGAAGCCCAAAGGUAUAAGAAGCCGAAUGGCACCAAACAACACAAUGUAUUUAUUACUUGCCUCCCUAUAUCUCCUUCGAAAAAAUUUUUUUUUUUUGCAUGCCAAGAUCUUGUUAAUUCAUGAUAAAAACUUAACUCUAUCUAAGGGGAAAAAAAAGGGGGGGAAGAGCAAACGUCGUAAACAGUCACCAAGCUAUUUUUAAUUGUAUAUUUUAGUCACCAAACUUUUUAUUUACCCAAAAUGGUCACUAAACUAAUGAGUAAAUAAGUACAUUUUGGAUUACUAAACUAACAAAAGUGCAUUUUUUCGUCACUCAUGUAAAGAAAAUGCGUGCUUAUCGGUCGCAAAAUGCAUGCUUUAAAUAGUUAAAUAAACUACUUUGGCUAAAUAAAAAAAAGUUUAAUGACCAAAAUAAAGAAGGUUCAAUAAUCACUUUUAUCAUUUGGUCUUGAGAACCAAACUUGAAACUACCAACUCCUAGUCCUAACCUUUUUUCAUAGGCCUUACCAGCAAUAAAAAAAAAUUUUUUUUGCCCUUUUUUGCGUAAGUCGCAGUAAGUUACUCAAAGUGUAUUGCUUUGUUUUGAAUGCGUGAUUACUGAUUAAUUAGGCCAAAUAUCAAAAACUAAACACACUCAUUCAGGUUAAAGAUAGAAACCGGAAUUCAUGCACAACGGAUCUUGUGUCCCACACUCUGUGCCACUCUCUGUCCCAUUUUUUAUUUUAUUGUUAUUUCUUCUAUAUAAACAUCAUGUUUUAGUUCUCAUGUGAUGUAGUAGUUGAUCAACGAUGAAUGAUCAAUCUCAAGUCUCAACACCCCAAAAAAAUAAAUAAAAAAUCUGUGAGUGCAGGCAAGUGGUCACCCACCCACCAUAAUGCCAUAUUCAUAUUUUGGAUUCGACUUGGGCAAAUAAUUGUGCAACAAAAGCCCGGGCAAAUAGGCAAGUAACAGUCGAGAGGACGAUAUUUUUUCAGAGUUUUUGGCAUCAUCUGAUUCUUGAACAGCGACAGGAGCCUCCAAGCUCUUGUGGUACCGUCAAAAUACUACUGCUCCGAAAGCACUGCAUCUACCCAAAGAUAAACGAGAGACAAAGUUACAACAGUCAUGGGUCAUUAUCUCAGGCGACAGAGAGAAGAGAAUUAAAACACAAGUUAUCUAAUGGAUACGAACAAAUGAUGACACAAAGCGAAUUUUAAUACUUCAUCCUCCUCGUUAAUUGGUACAGGACAGGAGCCAGCAAUACUACUAUUAUUAUUAUUGUCAUCUACCCGUAGGCUUUGAAGCCUUCAGUGCAUCGUACGUACUCAAGCUCAGUAUAUACUGUGCUAGUACCAUUUCUGCACUAGAGGGGAAAGCGAUCUCGAUGUACUACUAUCCAUCAUCCGUGCUCCUUGCACUAAACGCCGAGGGAUGCUAAUGCUAGAAAACUUGACUGGUGGUGAAAAUCAGACUGCUGUUGUUUGCUUUUUCUUCUUCAAGAAAAUAAAUGAUAAUGGGUGAUUUUUGCAAGCACUAAAAAUGACAAAGAAUAUCUUUUUGCAAACUGUUAUGCUACUACUACAUCUAUGGCGUAUAGAUAGAACAGUUGGAAAGAAAAAAGAGAGUAGUGUUAGGUGCAAAAUUCUUGACUUUUCAGCACUUCACCAAUUAAUCAUACAAUUAUAUAUUACGGAGUGCACAGGAGAAUUCGAAUUUCGAAAUCUGGUAGUGGGUAAUCUGCUUCCUUCCCCCCCCCGGUUUUCCCCAUAAAAUUCCCUUGCACUAUUUAAGUCUCUGUUCAUAUAUAUAACAACUCGAGAACGAAGCGAUGAAAUUGCAGAAUUUUGCCAAAGUGAAGUGAAUGGAACAAGUUGACGACUGAAGAAGAUUACCACCGAUCGAUGAAAAGAGAGACGAAGAGGAGAGAAUAUGGUUGACUGAAGCAGGGAUUUUGCAAAGAAGGAAAGCUUGGAUUCCUAAGAGAUUUGCAUAUGUGCGUAAGCGGUCACGAGAUUGUCAGAGAUGCCUGCUGUGCUGUGCUGAGGAAGGAGAUGGACUCUGGGUCUGGUCUGCUUCUGGUUGGUUGUGGAGGGACUUUGGACGCGCUCUAAUGAAUAGUAACGCCUUCCAUUCCAAGCCUCAGGUCUCAGGCAUCAAUUCUAUUCUAUUCUAUCUUACGUACGUUGUUGCAUUGCAUCUCUCUCUCUUUCUUUCUUCAAUUCCUUCUUUAAGGACACGUCGCUCCACAAAGUAAUCUUUUUUCUUCACCUUUUGCUUUUCUCUUUUUCCAUUUUUACAUCUUUUCAGAAAAGAGCCCCAAGUUGGACGAAUCAAAAUUCGAGGCCCCUUCCUCCCUCCGCCCUUUUUUUUUAGUAUAUACAUAUAUAUAUGUAUAUCUUUGUUAGUUACUACUUUUGUAUACACUAUUGGCUAUGUACAUUACUUGUAUGCUUUUUAUACUAAAACUUUAUAGUCAUUCGAAUAUCUUAUUUUAAGUGACUAGAUUUUAAAGUUAAGGAUUGGUCUUGUCUUUUGGGUUUGCGUGUCUACAUACAUACAUACAUACGCAAUCCUCAGCCGCACCUUCUUGUCUGCUAUGCUUCUUCUACGUAGUUUUCUGGGGGAUCCUGUGUGGAUAUUUUCCAUUUCUAGUAAUUGGUCAAUGUUCUACUAAUAACUAAUUAAUAAUGCUUGUCCAUUACAACAAUAUAUUCUUAAGCAUAGGCUACAACAAACUCUACCAUCUUUACUUUAUUUCCCAAGCUUGAUUAGUAUGGUGAAAAGCAAGGGAAGAGCUAGCUCAGCUUCGUUAAUUUGGACUACAUUAGCCUGUAAUGAAACAACGGACAAAUUAAUCUUAGGUUCCACUUUAAUUUUUUGCUUGAAAAUAUUUGUUACCUAAUACCCAUGAAAAGAUUAUUGUCUUGUCUACGACACUUACAAGUUUUAGUUUAGAAUCAUAGAUCAAUGUAUAUGCAGAGGGGAUCGGCUUGUGUAACAUGAUACGAGCAUUGAACAAACAAAUUUUAUGAUACAUGAAAGAGUUCAAGGCUCCAAGCUCACAUUUUUUCAACCUCGGAAUUUCGUCUAGUACAAGAUUUUCUCAGCCAGGGCAAAAAAAAAAAAAAAAAAAAACAGUAAAAGAAUGGCAGCAGUUAACCAAGAAUUAGAGAUUUCCCUCUUGUCUUUGUAACCAAGAAUUUUGAUUAUAAAUCAACUGACUUCCUUCCAAAUUUCCCUUUCAUUUUCCACGUUCGUAUGCACGAUUUAGAGAUGUUACUGUUGGACAACUUUCACAAAAAAGGAAGCACACCAGCUUUUUAGCUGUAAAUUCUCAAAUUAUAGUCCCUUAGCUUUUGACACCCCGUUUUCAAGUUCCCUUAAUCUCUCCUUCCUUCACAUCAUCACAUGUGCCUUCUUAACCCCAUCUCUAAAGUAGCAGUAGUAACUUCUCAGAAGCCUAGGCCCCCCUUUUCUCCCCCACCAUCUUCUUUAGAGCGUUUUUCCUUACCUUUUUCUCUUUGAAAAUUAUCAUCCCAGAUAAUGAGCUGCGAAGAUGGUGCUAUUUUCAGUUACAACUUCAGGCCUAAGGUUUCUCCAGACUUAAUUCUUUUGAAGGCUUGACAAGCUAAGCCACAUUUUCAAGAAAAUGGGCAGAGCAACAAGGUGGUUGAAGAGUUUGUUUGGGAUAAAGAGGGAUAAGGGCCAGAAGGAGAUUAAUCCAAAUUCCGGUAGCCAGAGAGAAAACAAAUGGACGGGAAUGGGCCAUUCGGGAAGAGACACUGCUGAUGGGCUGUGUUCAAAUCCAAACACCAUUCCACCCAAUAUUACCCCGGCUGAAGCUGCAUGGUUGAGAUCUUUUUACGCUGACUCUGGUGACAAGGAGCAAAGCAAGCAUGCCAUAGCAGUUGCUGCAGCCACCGCCGCUGCCGCUGACGCCGCCGUCGCCGCUGCACAGGCUGCGGUGGCCGUGGUUAGGCUCACCAGUCAGGGCAGAGGAGGGUCCAUGUUUGGUGGUGGUGGUGGUAGUCGUGAAAAGUGGGCCGUUACAAAAAUUCAAAGUGUUUUCCGCGGAUUCUUGGUAAUUAAUUACUACUACUACUACUUUUGCUUCGAAGGUGUAUAACGUAUAUUUGACUGACAGACACGGUUUCUCAGUAUCGUAGUCACAUCCGUUUCCUUGUCUUCUUUCUUUUUUUUUUUUGGCUGUCCCUUUUACCAUUAUAUGCAUUAAUUUUGGUUCGUUCUUACUAGAAAAAUGGAAAUUGCUAAACGGGUAUGGUGUGAAUUAAUCAGGCAAGGAAGGCACUGAGGGCUUUGAAAGGACUUGUGAAACUACAAGCACUAGUGAGAGGUUAUUUGGUGCGUAAACAGGCGUUCGCUACAUUUCACAGCAUGCAAGCUCUUAUAAGAGCACAGGCCAAUGUUCGUGCCCAAAAAACUCGAGGCCUCCUCGAUUCUACUGCUGCAAGUUCAAACCGGCAGUUUCAUGCUGCAAAUUCGGCGGUAAGAACUUGUCUCUGUGCAUCUAUUUUUGCAAGGAAUUACAUCUUAAUUUAAUUUGUGUCCAUCUUGGUUAAUUAGCAGGAAAAGUUUGAUGAGGGUAGAAGUAGGCAGAAUUCAUUUCAUAACAGAAGGCUCUCUGCAUCGUUUGAUAGCAUUAACUCAAAUGCAAUCGAUGAAAUCCCAAAGAUUGUGGAGAUAGAUACUGGAAGGCCUAAAUCAAGAUCCAGAAGAAGCAGCGCCUGGGUAUCAGAUUCCAUUUCCGGGGAUGCCCAGACUCUAUCCUCUUCGUGUCAAUGCCGACAUCCUCCGCCCCACCUAUCGAUCCCUGAUUGCAGAAACUCUCAAGACUCCGACUGGGGACUGACUGGGGACGAAUGCCGCUUCUCCACCCCUCAAAGCACUCCCAGAUUCUCCAAUUCUUGUGGGACAAAUCCACCUGUCACGCCAGCCAAGAGUGUUUGCGUGGAAAGCUUAUUCAGGAAUUGCCCAAAUUAUAUGGCUAAUACGCAGUCAUUUAAGGCCAAACUGAGGUCUUACAGCGCACCGAAGCAAAGGCCUGAACCGGGGUCCAAGAGGAGGCUAUCGCUCAAUGAAAUGAUGGAGUCCAGAAGUAGUCUAAGUGGGGUCCGAAUGCAGAGGUCAUGCUCUCAAGUCCAAGAAGUUUUGAGUUUCAGGAAUGCUGUUGUCGGUAGGCUUGCAAGGUCUUCAGAAUUCUCAAAAGAGCAAUUAUACAACAGGGAUUCUUACUCGGAAGAAUAUUUUGAGUAGCGAUCGAAAGAAUGUGCUGCAACUAUCAAUUCGCAAGCGCAAACAGAGCAUGUAAUUGUCUAGAAUCUAGAUCAUCCUAGAGACAUAGGGCAAGAUGUAAUCUUUACUCCCGUUUUCAUUGAAGAAGUGAUCAAGGUCGGUUAUACCAGUACUGACGAGGUUAAUAAUAAUUGUGUGUCUAAUUUUUCGUGUUGCUUAGGUGUGCCGUUAUUACAACAUUAACUCGACCUCUGCACAAAAAUGUACCGUACAUCCAGUACCACAAAUGCUGAGAGCCAACAAUUCCUUUCCUGGAAUCAUUUGAAAUGACAGGGCUUAGCUAGUUUGGACGGCAAUGCUAUGAUUCAUUAUUGCCUCCGUCCCCCUCUCUGUGUGGUUGCAUUCUAAGUAUUCAAAUUUUUUUUUUCUUUCACCUUUAGGGGCAGUACCGUCAUAAUUUGUUACGAGUGCUACAAUGUCAAUAGGAUGAUGACUUCUGUUGUCAUGUGCGGGUGUGAGGUUGAUGUGCUGCUGUAUCUAAUUUGAAAUGGAAGAGCUAUCUGGUUUUCUAAUCUGAAGAAAUAAUGGGAAUCUCAUAUGUGACCCACUUCUCCAUUAUGUAAACAAAAGAUCACCAUAACUUGGGCUAGUAGCAUCUGUAGUCUGGGACCUCUCUGAUUCAUUCCAUUGGCACAUUACUUGGGCACUCUCAACAAGCUUUGCAGCCUUUUCUUGUUUCUUGUUUUGGCAGAUAGAAAACAACUUGGCAGCCGAAGCUUUUAGGGUCGCUGGCUCAUUUCUGCUGCAGCAACAACAACAAACAGCUACUACGACUGGGUUUCUUGUUUCAUCAGCAGGAUGGUGGGUGGUUAAGCAGCAACAUUAUUGCUUCCUAUGGCUCCUCCCUAACACCAACAGCAAUAGGCCUUUUAUUGGGCGCAAGAUAGUACAAUUUUCCAUUCCGCCUACGUGCCGAAUUGUCAAUUGUUGUUUUCUUUUGAGUUUUAGUUUUGACAAUGGGCGUCGCAGAAGGCUUGAUUCCAGCCUUCCAUUUUUUGCGUCUUUAUCUUCUUCUUGUCUUGUUGGAUUAUAAUAUCUAGACUAUAGAUGCCAGGUAGACUGGUAGGCUUGGUCAAGGACUCGAGAUUCAGGAAGAAGGGGAAAAAGAGUAGGAAAAACUUUGUGCAACUUUAAGGUGUCGUAAUUGUAUAGCUAAAUUACACCCCCUUCAUCUAACGUGAAGGUUUGGAUUCAUGAUAAAGGAGUAUGAAUUUAGCCCUCACUUAAAAAGUAUAAUGUGUGUUUCUACAUUUAAAUUAAUUUAUAUGGUGAUUCGAUCAUAUUCUCAAGUCACGUUCAUCAUCGUUGGACGGGGAAAUAAGUGUUUCUUAGAUUAUUAUUGAAAGAAAUAAUUUCCUAAAAAGACCACAGAAUUUUGUUUAUCUUAUAUUCCCAUUAUAUAUCAGUAGCACGUGCUCUGCUGGUGAGUUAAAUUAUGGGGUGUUACUAUAACGUAAUGUUGUUACAGAAGUUGGUGGAAAGAUAGCUAGCAAGAAAUAUGCUAUAAGGAGAAAUCUUGUUUUUAUAUAAUCUUGUUUCACACUCAUGUGAUGUGAAACUUUGGGCCAAUUUGAGUGCAUAUUGGACACAUUUAUUUGUCGCCUCCGCCCAUGGACCCAAUUUAAGACUGAUGAGUGAAUGAGGGCAGGAUGUUUUCCACGCCAAACCUUUGACAUCUUGAACUCACGAUUUUUCUCUUGGAUAAAUAGAGCCCAACCCAAAGAUCUGAGCAACAAUGAAUGCAAUAUAUAGAUUUCGGAUUGGGACCUAAAAUGAGUUGUGUCCCUUCCAGCCGAAGAUUGUGCUGUUGUUGAAAUUGUGACUUUCUAGACUGUAAUUGUUCAGUGCGUGCGUUAGCAAAGAGCAACAGAUGUAAAUACCAAAAUAGUAAACUAGACACUAAAAGUAAUAGAGUAAAUCUUAUAUACACACUAUCACUGACUGACAGUAUACACACUAUCACCGUUGGAUUCAUGACACAUGUGUAAAAAUUGAAUUUCAAAUUCAAAUUUUGCAUAGUUAUCAUUCAUUCAACGCUGACAGUGUAUACAAUGUCAGUGUAGGAAAUAUUAAUUCAAAGUAAUAAUAUGAAAAAUAUAGCAAAUUAAGUUUUAUAGACGAGAUUGAUUGGGGUACACCACGAAAAAUUUAACGAGCAAUGUUUAAAAUUUUUGUGCCACAAUCAAUCUCAUCUAUCCAAAUUCAAUUUUCUACAAAUGCAGGCUAUAAACUUCAUCAUUCAAUUGCUCCGCUAUUUGCAUAAUAAUUGCAGUCCAGAACGUGAACUGCAACAUAACAAAGAUAACGUUUAAUUUCGCGAAAUGUUAUUUGACCUUCCAUUUUUGUUAAUCACAUUUCUACUAUCAUUUUAAUUAUAUAAUUUUUUAUUUAGUAGACUAUAUGAUAAAAUAAACGAUGAAAGUGCAAAUAACAAAAAAAUAGAGUGCAGACAACAUUUCCCUUUAAUUUCAGAUAAAUUUUCCUUUUUCCUGUGUGGGCCGGGUGGAUGCGCAAUUUUCAAGCAGGAUGGACAACAAGUGGGUUUGGUGCUUUGGAUUGUGGGCUUAGAAUAGAGGGAACGCUCGAGAGAGAUUGGACCGUCUUACUACUGCUUAAGCCUAGCUGUCCUCUUAAUCUUGGGUACACACAAUUAUAGGAUUUGCCAGAUAAUUAUCCCCUAAAAUAAUGGGAUUCAUUCAACCAUCUGAAUUAGAAUCAAAUUGUAAAUCUCAAUCUGAACUAUUGUUAAUCGUGUCUUGAUCACAAGAUUUCGAAAUGAUGCUUACCUUCCUUAAAACACCCUGAUUCUUUUUAUAUUGUGCCAAAAUUCUUUCUUAGACGCCGGGGCCCAAAAAUUUGCGAAAACUGAAGAAGCAUCUGCGGUGCAAGAAUGUCGAAUUCAUUUACUCAGUACUUAUUACUGAUUUACAAUGUCGGCCCAAAAAGGGAACAAAAAAAGAAAAGCAGAAAAAAAAGAAGCUCGUGUAUGUUUGUUAUCUUGAUCAUAUUUUGAUCCAUUCAGAACCAUCGAUGAAGGCAAGCGAAAUAAAAGGCUUUGCUUCCUCAUCUGUAAGUUCUCUGGACCAUGAAACUCUUCCUGCAAAACUUGCCCCUGCUCCGCUGCACUUGUAUUGUCCAUAAAACACCGUCCUGUGCAGAUAUAAGAAAGAGAAAAACAGCGUGAAAUUUUAAUGGCCUCAAAAUAGCUAUAUGACCCCCGCAGGUAGUCCGACGGGUUUUGUAGUCUGGUAGUUAUUAGCACGUUCUGUGAUUGACCCUUGUAUGCUAUCUCAUUGUGUAUUAUUGGAGUAAGAUUUUAUACAGGCUUAAGAGAUUAGUCUGGUUGAAAGGUUGGAAUACCUCCAAAUGAAAAAAAAAAUGGGCUCAUGGGCCGACUAUCAUAUGAUUUUGUUAAUUGGGCAAGCUACUAUAAUUAAAAUGGGUGAGCUAUUACAAUCUUUUUUUGUGGUAAAUAAAUGUACCGAGUUAAAUGUACACUAUCCCCAAAUUAACCAUUUGUACAGAUUUCUUAAUGACUGAUAUCCAGUAUAGUGCAAUACUUGUGGUUGUACACGUGCAUUAGAGACUUGUACAUUGUAAUCAGGUGCAAUAAACAGUAGCCACAAACUAAAAUUGUGUUCACAUCCAGGGCAUUCAAUAAUUUGGACUCUUCUACUUCUAGGACGUAUCCAAGUCUUCAAGUACAUGGCGCUUUCUGAAAGUUGAAUAUUCCUCCAUAUAGGAGCCUUGUGAAAGUUAGGUAAAGUUUGUUUAGGACACUUUAAUGGUUGAUUAUAAGUGGAUUAUAGUAGACAAGAAGAAUAGACACAAACUAAAUAAGGAGUGAGAGUAAGUCAAGGUUAUUGUCCUUGCUAGCUAGCUCUAUAUAUAUAGUGGCAAACAAACAACUGUCGCUGUGGAGAUGCUUGUAAAGUGGUUGUGAGUUGUGACUGAAUACUUUAAACAAAGUUGAUAAUCAUGGUGGAAGAACAGUGUGAUGCAUGCUGGUGCUAUAAUAAGGAAAAGAUAAGUUUGGAUAUACAUAUAUAGUUCGAAAUUGGGGUGGCACCGUCCCAAUACCACCAUCAAAUGCAAUGCUUUUGAUGUGAUACAAACUGACCUAUAAUUGGGCACCAAAUAGAUAGGCUAUAAUUGAGCACCAUAUAGAUACGGAUGGCCAUAUGUUAUGUAUAGUGGAGGAAGAUGAUAAAGAUUUUGUAAUUUUGCAGGGAGGUGAUGAUGAGGAAGAGCACUACUUACAUUUCUCGACUAGGGUCACCCCAGUUAUGCCAGCCUUUUGGAAUGAUAAUGUUGUCCAUAUAUGUGUAAGCGAAGAUUACCCUGGAAAAGGGUCCCCAUGCCCGUCCUAGGUACAGGGCUCCUGAACCCGUGACCUUACAGUUUACAAAGGAGAACCCUGUGUCCUCCAACAGGCUGCUUCUCCCUUGUGCUGUGACUGCCCCCGUUAACUGUGCUAUUGCAUGCACGUGACAACCCUGCGUUUACAUUUUAACCAUUAUGUAUUCUGCCAUCAUCAUUUCAUGAUUUGAGCAUAACUAGGUGCAUGCAGAUGCAGUACAUAAUUGGUUAUGUAAUGUACAUUCUUAAUAGUGUUUCUGUUUCACUAACAUACAAUAGUACCCAGAGGAUUCUUGAUUAGGAUCAAUGUACUUUCUCUAAAUGCAUAUAUAAUGGUAGAAAUUAGUGUUUCUAUUCUAAGUUUAAGUUCUAGAGUAAUAUAUAUAGUUCUCUGGAUCGAAGCAUAAAUUGAUAUAUACAGAAUGCUCCCUCCUAAUUAAUUUGGUUGCCAAUAUAAAAGCCAUAUGUUUCUUGCAACAAUUCUCUUGAACUAUCAGCUAUAACAGGCGAGCUCUAUGUUUAGUGCAGUAGGAUCAUUAGCUGGCAAAUUGAAAAAGGAAAACCAAACUGUAAAUAGAACGGAAACCGAACAAACUCUCCUGAUGUAAGUGAAGCAUGUCCACUUUCAUGUAACACAGUGUUGCUUUUAGAAAAGACACGACUUGUAUCUACCUCCACAUUUCACGUCAUCCCACAAUGAAUUCAAGAACAUACAAUUUUCAUAAAAGGACAUGCGAUCCAAAUUUCAUCAAGUUUUAGUACUUUUUUCUUUUUUAAGUUUUAGUACUUUGUUUGUCCAAUGUAUGUUUUUAGUCCACACAAAAGUGUUCAAUUGAACGAAUUCAAUUUCAACAGGUGAGACCAAAACCAUAUGAACAUGCUAACGUGGCUUUAUUAAGAACGAGGAACAUGAAACAAGAUGCAAGCACUGUAAAGUUUUAACUAACCACUGAUAUGCAAAGACAAUAAUAUUAUUGUUUGUCGAUUUCUCAAGGGAUCAGUGGAGAUAGUUACCUCAAACAAAGAGAGCCCGUUACCAAAGAUGAAAUCCACAGAGCCUUCGAUGUAACAAUCUUUGUAAUAAUGCCUGCCUACGUGGUCAUACAGCGUAUCCUGUGCACCCAAGAAUCUGCAACCCACAAAAACUGCUGUAUCUGCCGAUAUCCUAAAUGCAACAGCUUGCUUUCCAAUGGCUCCUGGGGGUGGUACUGGAGUUGUAUUCUGCAUGCAUUUUUUUUUUUUUUGGCAAAUAUUACGUGAUCAUGAGAUUAAAAUGUUAAUUAUGACUAGCCAAUAACAAAAGAAGGGGAAAAUGAUAUUACCUUGAAUGUGAUGUUCUUGGCUAUGAAAUAUGGAGAAUUCACAGCAAAUGUUGCAGAAGCAAAUGUGCCAAGAGGCUGGCCUUUUGCUCCGGGUGUUUGUGCUGUAUCUCCCCAUUGAACUAUAGUUUUAUCUGCUCCCGCUCCCUGUAUGGUUAUGUAUGACUUCAGCUGAGGUAUUGUAACCUUUUCCCUGGAAAACUCGCAUUUUUGGGGGGGUCAAAAAGAAAUGAUCAUUUGAUGGAGAGAGAGCAACAUGAAAAUAAUACCAACUGUGAAAAAUGAGGAAGGAUGAAAGAAAAGACGCAUUUCAAAAACCACAUGCAAAGUAGGUACCUGUAGUCAGGAAACCAGUUUGUAGCAUAUUGAUCAGAAGCUAAAGGACAACGUGCAACAAACCGACAUAUUUCUUUUUCAAUGGUGGCGAAAUAUAACAAAAACUUGAGCAUGACUACCUCUUAAAUGUACCAUAUUAUAUAGUAAUGCACUAUUUUCUCUCUUUCUCUCUUCUUGGUGGUAAAAUUAUGCAUUUACCAAGCCUUGACAGAAAAUACCACAAAGAACAGAGAAAUGUAUUGAGUAUAUCCUAAAACACUUACGUGUAAACACCCGCAUGAACCUUGAUCAACACUCUAACUAGAUUAACAGUAGGGAGAGAAUCAAUAGCCUGCUGAAUUGUAGUAAAGUCACCGUAGUUUGGAUUUUUGUCGACCGUAAGAGUGUAAGAAGGGAAGAGCUUAUUCUUGGCGGUCUUGAACACAGAGUGAUUGAGGCUGCCAACAAAGUUUACCCACUUCAUGAAUUGUUGUUCAGAGUAUUGGACUUGGGUCAUAUUCACUGCAAAUAGCUUCCCUGAAGCUGUUCUUUUUGGCCUAAUGCCUUUGGUGUGGCAUACUACUGUAUUGCUUCCAUAGCUCAGAAGAAUGAAAAUGAUAGAAUGUACAAGAAGUUUAGAAGUGGGCAUAUCGAUUGAUCUCUACAGAAUGAGAAUGAGAUCGAGAAGAGGAGAAAAGAAAAAGAAGGAAAAAAGCCGUACUAAGGAAUGUUGUUUUGGGGUUAGGAAGUGCAUUAAGCUGGCUCGUAAAUUGGUUGUGUAUAUAUAUAUAUAUAUAUCAGUACUACUUGGGAAUUAGUGCUUAGUAGUAACUGCUGCUGCCUUUUCAUUUUAGGUGGAAAAAGCGAUGCUAUAUUUAGAUGAUCUUGACAUGGAGUGAGAGGUCACGGGUGCCUCUAAUUGAAUCAUUGUGGAAUGUUGGGGAAGAACUAAGAAGGGGGAAUGGUUGGGUUGGGGAGGGGGAUCACAGGAAAACGAUCUCAGACCACAAAGCGAGUCCUAGGGAGGCAUGCACUUUUCGGCCUAACAAAAACGUUUCUUUCCGAGUUUUUAAAGCUCAUUCAGAGUUGGUGGUGCCCGUGACUAUCUCUAUGUUUCCGUAUGAAGCUGAACAUAUUCUGCUUUCAGAAAUGACGUGUUUUUUGUGCAGCAGGGGAAGUGUUUUUUGUACUCUGUUUUGUUUUGUUUUUUUUUUUUUUUGUUAUUUGCACUCUUACCAUUUGUUUUAUCAUAUAAUCUAAUAUAUAAAAAAUUAUAUUAUUAAAAUGAUAACGAGAGUGUGAUAAGCAAAAAAAAAAAUAGAAGUGUAAAUAAUAUUUUUUGCGCAGUAAUUUCUAAUUAGUUCUAUUCAACAUAUAGUACAGGGAAGGGUGCUUGCUACUGUAGUUGCCAAACACUCGAGGAAAUGUGUUAUGUGGGUUUCUAUCUUUUGGUUUAUAUGCGUCACAUAUAUUUGCUAACAAGUUCAAAAGCCAAUAUCGUUGUAGAAGUUUGUCAGAGAGAAGAAGACUAGAAAGAAAGAAAGAAAGCUAUUAGAACAAAAAUUUUCUUUUACAGGAGGGAUUUUAGAUUCUUGUAACAUAUACAAAAAUCAAAUUUUAUAUUUGAAUAGAAAUCAUGCGUCAUGUAUCAACAAAUGCUACUUUUGGAAAUUUUUUUAGAUGGCGCAGAAAAAAUUAAGGGAAAAUGGCUAAAUUCGUCCCUAAAUUUUUUAUUAAUGUCAAUUUAAUCCCUAACUUUUGUUUUCAGCCAAUUUGAUCCCUAAACUUAUAUUAUGAUUUCAAUUAAGGAUCUCUACGGCAGAAUCACCACGGAAAAUAGAUUAAACUCCACAUUGACCAAUUAAACAUGGGUAUUUUAGGAAUUUUUAGAUAUCCCCUUCCUCUAUUAUCAAUUCCUACGGCCUACCAGCCACCUCCCCCUUCUACUCCUACCUUUCUUCUCCAACCUCUCCAUUCCCUCCAUCUAUCAUGUCCAUCAUCUUUGUUGCAGCCCAAAACACAAUCCUUCUUACAUUGAAGAAGAGGCUUCCUUUGUCAAAAGAGAUAGCAGUAAAAGCUUCUCUCUUUCUUGCUUCUACACAACUAUAGCCAUGCCAAGUUCAAAGCAGGAAUCAAGGUUUAUCCCAAGCAGCCAUCAAAAUGACUUUUGUUGUGGUGGAUGAUGAGUGUUAGGCGAAGCCAUGAAAUCCUUGUUAGUUUCUUGGGAAAUUUUGGCCUUGCUGAACUUGUACACUGCAAAAAUAAUAUGGAUACAUUGAAAUAAAGUUUUUCGUAGCUUUGGGUAUAAGCGAUACAUCAAAUCUUGCCUCCAGUUUUUACAUAUAUCAUGUUGUCUUGUAAUUUGAUUUUUGAAUUUUGCCGGAAUGUUCUUGCUAUCUAUGAACAUGCCCUUUUUCUUCCAUGGACGGAGGAUAAAAAUGAAUUUAAAAAAAAAAGAGAAUUUACUCUUCACUCUCCAUCCAAUCCACCAUUUUUGGUACUGCUCCUAUAUUUGAUUUUGUUAAUAUAAUGCUUACAAAACUCAAAUUACUACUACUACUUGUCUGUAGAGAAUCACUGGAUUAGAUCCACCUUAAUCAACAAAAUCAUUACUAAUGAUUACCAAAAAAACAACAUACUUCAUCAUGUCUUGAUCUUCACUAGAACAGAUCCGAUACUUACCCAACAUCUAGAUUUGGGGCAUCAUAUGGUUUCGGCUUCACCCAAUUCAAGGGAGUCUCUUUGCUUAGUUUUUGGAAUAUCUUGGCCCUCAAAUCCCUCCCAAACUCUACCUUCUCUCCAUCAUUGGCUCCUCUUCGCACCCUUCUCCGUCCCAGAAGUCAAAGUAUCGCAUCUUGUUCCUGAUCGAUUCUUAGUUGCAAAAUUUAUAGAGAUGACUGACAUAACAGAGAGAGGAGCAAAAGAUGUGGGAGAAGAAGGGUGAGAGAAGGAGGAGGUAGGUGGCAGGUGGUGGAAAUUGAUGGUGCAAGGAGGACAUAUCAAAAGUUCCUAAAAUACCCCUGUUUAGUUGAUAAAUUAGGAGUUUGAUUUAUUUUUUGUGGUGGUGUGGCCGUAGAGAUCCUUAAUUGAAAUCAUAAUAUAAGUUUAGGGAUCAAAUUGGCCGAAAACAAAAGUCAGGGAUUAAAUCGACAUUAACAAAAAGUUUAGGAAUGAAUUUGGCCAUUUUCCCAAAAAUUAAUCCUAGAAAUCUUUUUUCUUCUUCUAACCUCUUAUUUGACACCCAAUUGUUGUUCUAUUGGGCCAGGUUGAUGUCACAUUGUGCAAAUUCAUAUCUCACCUUGUAGGCCCAUCGACCCAACUCUAAUACCAUUGUGGCAGCAAUAGCAUAGUGUAGAAAUACCCAAUUCACUCUCUCUCUCUCUCCCUCCCUCUCUCUCUUCUGGGUUUUUGAGUUUAGAGCCCAGAGGAAGGAAACCUUACAUGUACACCUAAUAGUGUGACAAGCACAUAUAUUGUUUUACAAAUGAUUAUACACUCGUGCGUAUAAAUACACAUAGGAUGUGUAUAAAGAUGCAUAAGUUAAGUAUUAUUUUCAGGAGUCACGGUCCUCGUCACCACCUUCUAUUACCAUUUGAUAAGAAUACACUUCUCAAUUCAAUGCAACGUUGCUUUUUUCGCUCACCCCAAAAAUCAUAUUUCUUUGCACGGAAAAGACAUUUAUGGAGUAUUUUAUACACAUAACCCAAGAUGCUAUUCUUUCUUGACUCGUACCAUGCCAAACAUGCCAAUUAGGAUAAACAAGUAGAGGCUGCAAAUCUAGGUAAUCAUUGUACGAUUAUGGGCAAAAGUUAAAAACUUGGAUAAAUUAGAUCUUGUAAACUUAGUGAUUCAAAUUUUAUCAAAUAUUUGAAUAUUUGAGCCGGAGAGAUCGUACAGCAAAUUUUAAACUACUAAAUUUACAUAGACCGGAUCUAUUCAAGUGUUUGUUCGGGCCAAAUGCGACCAAUAACAUGAAUUUAGCUUCAUUGUCUAUUUCUACAUCAGUUGGCAACAAUCAAAGCUCUAAAAGCGAAAUAAAUAUAUCAGGUUUUGGUUCGAUGGGAACGGAAUCAACAUCAAUUAUUGAAAAGUUUACAAAAAAACCGCAUCUUACCCUUUGUCCUUCCUCUUCCUUGGAAAUAACAUCCAUCACCCCACCCUCCCAUCCGCCUUGCCCCACUUGGAAAUAACCUUAAAAGGACCGAAAAUAGUAGUAGUCUCAGAAUAUUUCUUGCAGACUAAACCCUGAUUUCCAUCUUAGGGAGAGCUCCCAAGAAGCAUCUACUAUUUCGUAAAAUUUGUUCCGACCUCUAAAACUGUAAUGAAUACGAACGUGAUCUCAAGCUUCAUAGCCAUAGCAACUUCCAUCUCCUUCCUCCUCCUCUCACCCCCAUCAAAGUCCUUUUAUCAUUCCUUGUUCUUAUCUGAUUCCCUUUCAUGCAAUCAAUCAAUAGCAAACCACCUCUACAUCCUAACCAAGCGGCCUCAUGUUGCUGGGUCCGAAGCCAAUGCCGAAGCAGCGGCUUAUGUUCUAUCCACCCUCACUUCCUAUAAGGUUCGAUCACAUAUAACAACCUAUGAAGUUGCCUUAACUUAUCCCAUCUCACGUUCCUUGACCCUAAAACCUACUCCUCAAGACAGCCCCGUCAAGUUCGAUCUCCACCAAGAGAUUUACGACGGUGAUCCUUAUGCCGACGUGGCAGACGAAGUCCUACCGACGUUCCACGCAUAUGCCAAGUCUGGCACUGUAGCUGGACCCGUAGUAUAUGCCAAUUACGGGCGCGUACAGGACUAUGCUGUAUUGAAGCAAAUGAAAGUAAAUGUGUCAGGGAAUGUUGUAUUGGCAAAGUAUGGAAAGAUAUACAGGGGGGACAUUGUGGAAAAUGCUUAUGCAGAAGGUGCUAUAGGUGUAUUAAUUUACACAGAUAGGAAGGAUUACGGUGGAGUAGGUGAUGCAAAAUGGUUUCCUGAUGACAAGUGGAUGCCUUCAAGUGGAGUCCAGGUGGGAUCCGUGUACAAUGGGGCCGGUGAUCCCACUACACCUGGCUGGCCUAGUUCAGGGUUGUGCGAGAGACUAUCAGAUGAUGAUGCGGAGAAAGGAGGAGAAGUUCCAUUGAUACCUUCAUUACCUAUUUCAUGGGCUGAUGGUGACAGAAUCCUGAGGUCCAUAGAUGGACAAGUGGCAAAUGACGAUUGGCAGGGAGGGAAAGAUGCUCCUGUCUACAAGGUUGGGCCAGGACCAGCAAUUCUGAAUCUUAGUUAUACAGUAAGUCUCGAAAAACCAGCAAAAUGUCGAAUCUGUAGAGCUGAAACAGGCAUGCAGUAACUAAGAAAGCCCAUACCGUAAGUUUUGCAGGGAAAGCAAGUUAUAACCACAAUCCAAAAUGUUAUUGGAAUCAUUGAAGGUGUAGAAGAACCUGAUAGGUAAGUUUGAAUAAUUCAAACAUGCAAUGUACAGCAAAUUAAUACGCAUCUCUGAAACAAUUCUGCAUGAUGAAAUUGUCACGUAAGAAAAUGACAAGCAAAUUGUUAUAGCAAGCCCUACAAUAGAAAUGAUAGCCAAAAUGAAAUCAUAAUAUUAUUUUCCAAAAAACUGAGCCUGGAUAAACAAAAUCAAGCUUACCGAGUAACUUUCUAAUGCUAGAUUUUCCUCACACAGUUGAAAAUUUUCUAGAUAUGUCAUACUUGGGAAUCACCGGGAUGCAUGGACAUUUGGAGCUGUUGAUCCAAAUAGUGGCACAGCAGCCCUGCUUGAGGUAUGUAAAAUUUUGGUGCUUAAAUCGUCUUAACAUCCCUAGAUUCAAAUUCCAAGGAAAAUAGCAGUUCAACUGAUAUUUUUGAGAGAGACAGGUUGCACACAGGAUGUGGAAGCUCCAGGAAAAAGGUUGGAAACCUCGGCGAACAAUUAUAUUUUGUAAUUGGGAUGCUGAAGAAUAUGGCCUGGUUUGUCUUUCGCUCCUCUCACUGUAGCACAUUCACUCGUCCACAUGCACCCCUGGCUCCUUUCAAAUAACCAAAGCUAGAAAGAGGCUGUGUGAGCUCAUACAGGCAGAACAUAUUUGUUGUUUUAACUGAAUUAUAAGCAGUUCACCAUCUUCAGAUAGGAUCAACAGAAUGGGUUGAAGAGAACAGGGAAAUGCUAGCAUCAAGAGCUGUAGCCUAUAUGAAUGUUGAUAUUGCAGUUCAAGGAUUAGGAUUUUAUGCCUCUGCAACUCCACAGCUCGAUGAGCUACUAAUAAAAGCAACUAAGCAGGUACGAAACGAAUCUCAAGGGUUGGGGCAACAGGGUUUUACAACAUUGCCAUAUGCAUUAACAAUGAUUGCAUAUGGUUAAUCCACGUAGAAAGCAUCAAGUUUAAAAAUAUAUAUAUAGAGGUGCAAAUGUAGUUUAACAGCACAAGAAUACCAGUCUGUCAAACUUCAAAUGUCAAUUUAUGUUUUAUCUUUCUAUUCUCACUCAAAUUAGAUAAACUUCUGACUUAGGUCCAAGACCCGGAUAACUCCUCGCAAUCCAUCUACCAAUCCUGGAUUCGCUCCAGUGAAAAUCCUAAGGUAAGCAUCUUAAGAUAGUUUAAAUAAGAAAGAGAAUUGCGUAAGAGUUCUUAAAUGUGAACCUUGGGGUUGUGGGAGCAGGGUAAACAUUACAAGCACUGAAUAUAUGGCCACGUCCUAGACCAUUGUGCUACCACUUUGAUUUAUAAUUUAUCUUUACGAGAUAACUCAAUUGAUGCUUUUCAACUAAGGCAUUUAGCUACUUAGGUUUAAAAUCAAACUGCCCCUGAAUACCAAGAAUUACUAAAUCUAAAAGGUCAGCUUCUGGAUUUCUGUGGCCUUGAUAAGUGGCUUUUGGAUUUCAAUAUUGACAAACUGACCAAAAGGUCUUUAAGAUUGGAAGGUUAGGAGGAGGAGGAUCAGAUUAUUCUGCCUUCGUUCAGCAUGUUGGUGUUCCAGCUACUGAUAUCUCUUAUGGAGAAGGUAAAAGGAAUAUAUUCUGGCAAUCUUUUCACAAAGCAAGAGAUGCUUGCAUCAAUGGUUAUUACGCAGAUAUCCAAUUAAUUUCACCUUAAUGUAAUUUGCUCUGUCUUUUCAUUAAUUCCUUCACAUAGUAAGCUCCUAUGUCAUCUCCAAAACAACCCCCACCCCUCUUCCCAACCCCCCUGUCCUCUCCCCAGAAGGCAAAAUAAAUGAAAAAAAAAAAAAGCAGAAUCUAAUAAGACCACUGAGCAUUCAAAGCAAAACCUCGUACCAUAAAGCAUCCUAAAUAAAUAUAUCAGAGAAAUAAAUAGAAAAACAAUGUAAAAGCUCAAAACUUAAAGCAAUUUUUUUCUUUUUAAGCUAUUCAUGAUUCUUCAUGGUAAGAAUCAAUGAAGGGAUUUACGGACCAUGCAAGGAAAAUUAAUUUUUGUAUAGUAGGACUAAGAAAGCAGUAGCUUCGACAUACAUUAAGAACCAAAAAAAAACUUCUAAAAGCAAAAUAAUCUUACCAUCAUCUUUCCUCAUAACAAUUGGUCAGUGAGUGUGAUGAAAUUACAUCAGCCAGUUCUCUAGCAUCACUUAUCAUUUGUAUGUAUGUUCAUUCUCCAUAACGUUGUGUUAUACCACUUGACUUUCAUUACAAGAGAAAUAAUGACAUUAUACUCGUUAGGCUCUAAAGCAGUGUAGAAUGAUUACUUAAACAAAUCACAAAUUUAGAAAAGCACAAAAUCUCCAUUUCUCUAAAAGAACACCCAAGUAUCAUAGCUCUGGAGAUAUCGAGCAUGUUAGCAUAUCUAGGCAAAAAACUUUAUUUAGAUCUGGUGCAUAGUAUGUAUAACACGCUCAUAUCAAUCUAACCAGUAUAGUAACAGUGCUAGAUCAGGAUCAACUCAGUACAUUGAGUUUCUUACCUUGAACAAUAACCUAUAAAGAACAUCUUUUUUUAAAAAUGUCAUAAAAACAAGGGGAAGACAGCAAUAGAAAAAGAAAAUUACAGGAUGAGUUGAGAAUAAGAGUCGGAGUAAAUGGUACAGGGACAUCAACCACAAUGUAUCAAACAUUUAAGAGAAAACAAUGGUGUAAGAUCAAGUAGAAGAAGAAGAGACAGAUUUUUUAACAGCCUCAAAACAAGGUUUGCUUACCCAUUAAUUACAUACCUCCUGACUAAUACACAGGCCAUCCAUCCACUCUCUGCUGCUAAUUGGCUAGGCUUAAAAUUUUCAUCUACAAUCUGCACCAACUCUGAACAACAUCAAAUAGACACCACAGCCUAGAAAUUAAUCCAAAAGAAUAGAGGGACCUGAUGAAGAUACAGAUGCAAGAUUGAUAGGUCAAAUGAGUACAUUUUGCCAGAUGUCUAGGACAAACUCUAAUAUACACUAAGAUCAUCAUGAAUCAAGUUAGUUGUGAAGAUCAAUGUAUUUCCCCCACCCAAUUACACUUCUAACGUUGCACAAAAGUCAAAACCUUGCCUCUCCCAUGACACUCUUAGAGCAUAAGAAUCUCGACAAAAUAUAAUUUGCAGAAGAAAACAAAAUAAAAUCAGAAUCAGACCAAUACACUGAGAAUUCUAGCGAAUCAUCCAAGGCACAAUGUUCUAUUCAGUUGUCUUGACAGGCAUGCAUUCAGACAGAUUCUAGCCAACCCUUUAACAUCACUAGCAUACAAAGAACUGGUAAUGCCAGAUGCAUAAUUAUCAUGGACUUAACUAGUUGCAAUCGAGAAGCUUGUCUCCUUAAAAAUGUGCAUGACACAAGAAUUAACAUUUUUAUUGAGUACCAUCAUCUUUACUUACCACAUUACAAACACGUGUUGAGGCUGUGCAAUCAGAGUAGUUCAUAGUACAAGAAUUAAUUCGUAUAGACAUGACCCAGUUGACCUUAAAAGUACAUCAUGCAUAAAUUUUUUUUCCCUUAAGAAACAUAGACUUAUUAUUUCCAGCACUAGAGAUUCUCUUCCAGCACAAAAUAUAUCAUACUAAGCAAAAACGCUAGGCAUACUCCUUUUUAAGAAUCGGUCCAAUUCUUGAACUUUAUGACUUCUAACGGUUUUCAACUAUCACUUGACAAAAUUUGGUGCUUGUAGAUUAUCCAGUCUAUCACUCAAUGUAUGAUGACUUCAUCUGGAUGAAGAAAUUUGGCGACCCAAAGUUUCACAGGCAUGUAGCAGGUUAGUUAUAAUUUUCUGCUAGAUAGUAGAAUUUACUGCAAUUGCAUAGACAUCUCAAUGGCUUGUGAGAUUAAAAGUUUCAUCACAUAAUUGGGAUGAGCUAUCAAUUAAUCAUCAGAAAUGCCAAUCUUACAGAAUAGAAAGUCACAAAGAAACUCUUAUGUUCAGUUGAAAACAUAAAUUAAGUUGAUCCCGCUCAAAUAUUUCAUAAAUUCCCCACCAUCCCCUUAUUAGCAAAUCAGUUAACAUUUGGCAAUGAAAUCAAAAGUUGCAGGAAUCACAUGCAUAAUAAGACGGAUAGUGUGCAGAGAAGUGCAAAAAAUAUAUUAUUUAUUGGCCCUCUCCAAAUGAAAUUUCUUAGUUCAAGCGUCCAUUUGGCUAAAAGAGUUCCUAUAGAAGCAGGGUCUAAAAUCAACAUGGAAGAAAAACAACAAGACCAGGUUUCAUUUAUCAGGCAUUCAAAAAAUAAUGCAUAUUACAUGGAAACCCAACAAAAUACUGAAAAACAUUAAACAUAGCAAAACACAGAUUCAUUUAACAGACAGUAUUCAGCAUAACUGACAGAAAUACUAUGUUGGAGAGAUGUGUUAAAGGAGGAGGAAGAAAAAGAAAAUUGCAAAUAGGAAGAAUUAAGAUAAGGCGACGAAAAACUGACGGGCAUAAAGGUUUCGAGCAGCAAGAAACAACAAUAAUUUAUCCAAUAGAGCCAAGAAACAUCAUAAGAACCUAUGAUUGUUUAGUUAGAUGAACAAUGUCAGAAAUGACAACGAAAAUAUGACUUAAUUCAAAAACUAAAAAAAAAAAAUCAAAUACAGAAGCUUACUGCUUGUGUCAGACACUACAGACACUUUCAAGGCACUGAAGGGAACUCAAAAGUUUCAAAAGAAAUGAAAGAUUACCUUAGACAAGUCAUUGCAUACUCAAACACUUGCAGGACACAUCUCACCAAAUAUUAAAAUUGAGAUAAAUUUUCAUGUAUAAAGAAGAAACUUUUCAUAAAAAAUUUGGUAGCAUGAGUAGUACACAGUAAAAUUAGAAUACGAACCUGUAUCGAAUAUAUCAAGUAUCUGUUUCAGGCAUUUGACAAUUGACAUGGAUAGAUACUGAAUCAGACCCCUCUAAUAUGUUUUAAACCUAAAACAGACAUCUUCUAACUCCAUGUUAUAGUAGAUCAUGCAUAUAGUGCUCCAUGACACAUGACUGCUCCACAACAAGUACCAUUAUUGUAUGAUUAAAUCGUCACAUUUCCUAAUCUUCACGGAAGGAUAUAGGAGAAAUAAGAUGCUUUAAAUCAUGGUCUAUAUCGCAUCAAUGUCCAUGAAAGAUAUUAAAAUUUCAGUCAAACAAAUAUAGUCUCACAAAGAUUAGCUGCAUUACGUAUACAUAGUUAUUGCUCCAUCAUCACUAAAUAUACACAUAUUGUGAUGCAAGAGCAAAUUUAAUAUACAGAUGUUGCUAGAGACGGAUUUGUUAUUCUAUACCACUACUUCUAUAAAAAAAAUUCCUUCAAUUGUGUUUUCAUUCAUGUUGUUUCCUAUCAUCCAUUUUCACAAAAGAGACGAAAGUUCACUCAAACAACCUAAACCAUUAGAAACAUAGCUGCAUUAUGUACACAAAUAUUGCUUCAUCAUCAGUCACUGUUACAGUGGCUCGUGUGAUUCAACAGCAAACUUACAUUGUUAUAAUGCUACAGGUAGAUUUGUAGCUCCAGAUAUGUAAUACUUAAUAUAAAAAAAAUAUACCCUUUAGUUGUGUUUUCAAUCCUGUUGUUUUCUAUCAUCUAUUUUGUCCAACACAAUUCUACUUCAGCAGUUAAAUCUUUUCAUCAACUUGUUUCUUUUUGUGUACGAACAGUGACAAGUAUUUGGGGUUUAUUAGCACUUCAGCUUGCUGAUGAAGAAUUUUUACCUUUUGAUUAUCUGUCCUAUGCCAAUGAGCUGCAGGUAUGUUUCCUAUAGUGGAGAAAUGAGUAUAAUAUACCUGCUUCUACAAUUGAAAGUAAUCUAAUCUUUUGAUUGUUUGAUCCUGUAACUAGAGAAGUGUGGAAGAGUUGAAAAUUGAGUUGUCAGAAAAGGGCAUAAAACUAUUUCCCUUAUUUAACUCUAUCAAGGAACUGAGAAUGGCAGCAACUAAAAUUGCUAAUGAGAUAAAGGUACAUCUCCAGCUCUAUUAGUCAAAAACUUGGUAGAGAUCUCUAAGUGUGCUAAAUUUUAUUGAUGGAAGCACAAUUCAUUAGGUGCUACAAGACAGAAAUGUUUGGGCUUCUGUAUCAAAAAAUGACCACUACAAAGUAAGAGAAUUGAAUGACAGACUAAUGAUGGCAGAGCGAUCAUUCACAGACCGCGAAGGACUUCCUGGAAGGACAUGGUACAAGCAUUUGGUAAGCUUCUUUAAAUCACCUGCAAGUGACCUUGUUGUAGCUAAUUAAAAAUUCAGUUAAGUGCUUGUUAUUUCACCUUGAUUGAAGGUUCUUAUUUUCUUCCAUUACAAAGCACAAAAAUGACAUCAACUUAGACCAAAGAAUUUCAGGAAAGAAUAAUCACAAAAGCAUUUGGAACAUCUAGUAUACCAAAAUGCGUGCAGCUGAAAAUGACACUUUUGAUAACUGAAACCAAAUACUGACUGAUGCUUUAUAUCAUUCAGAUAUUUGCACCAUCAAAGCACAAUGAUUAUGGUUCUAAGUACUUCCCUGGAAUAGAUGAUGCCAUCGAAAAGGCCAAGAGCAUUAACACCACAGACUUGUGGCUUGCAGUACAGCAUGAAGUCUGGAGAGUAUCUAGAGUGAUUAAACAUGCUUCACUGGUCCUCAGUGGUCAGUUAACAUGACUACCGUCAUCUUAUACCCCUAAAUUCCACGUGUGUAUUCGCUAUUAAUAAUAAAACAAUUGGGUGACAUCUGGUGGACUUGCUUUAGUUCAAGACAGAAUCUGGGGAUUUUAUAUUGCAUUUUGUUUUUUUUCUUAGGUAUACUAUUGACUGUUCCUCAUUUGACUCACUAAUGGUUAGGAAAAAGAACUUGAUGGUCACAAAGGGAGAUAACCUGUAGUUAAGCUAAACAUGCAAACGCCCAACCUGAGACCAUUUCUAAUAACCAUGUAGUCUAAGUCCUAGCUGCAUGAUACAAAAUUCCAACAUAAUUUCUCAGGGAAAUGAUUGGCAACUAAAUAUUUUACAGUUUAUUCUUGAUUUCUCAAAUUUGGAAAAUCAGUCUAUUGGUUUGCAUCCAUCUGAAGUGAAAUUUUCAAGAUCAAUACCACAGACAGGCUUUCACAAUGCCUCAAAAAUUUCCAUCCAUCAUUAUGGCAGUUAUAUCAAACGGGAGAUAAAUCCAAUAUUUAAAGAACUUCAUAGUGGUUGAGCAAACAAAAUACUACCUAAUCCUUUUAACAGCACUAUAACAAAUUCUUUUAACAGUUUCACAGUUGAGCCAGUAAUGUGGCCUAGGCCAACAAAUAAGAAUUAAAGUUUCACAAUUAGAGGUCUAAAUGGAGUACAACAGUUUGACAUACUGCAGUACCAAGCUAAAGGAAAGUUGGAUGUCAACACAAAUGAAAGCAUUAUUUCCAUGCAAAAAGAAGAUAUACAUGUCACAAUAAGCUCAUAAGCUGUACAACUAAAGCUAGGUUAGAAAUGUAAAGCAGUUAGGAACACAAAAAUCUGUAUUUCAGAUUUGGUAAAUACUGUACAAUUAUUUCUACUGAACCUACAAUAUAUACAAUGAACAACAGUUAUUUCCGAGUCCUCUACUUCCAAACCUUAAUUGCACCAUCCCUACUGCUCGAAAUCAGAAGCCUCUGGUUCAGCUUCACAGAAGCCAAAGAGAGGACAGAAUCACGGUGACAUCCUGCAGAAUCAGUGGCAGCACCAGCAAGGAUAGUCUUUGUGGUCA
rnacentral:lncRNA from 1 species